CCGUCUCAAAAAAAAAAAAAGAAAAAGAAACUGUGUGUUUAAGCGUUUUGAUAUAGGGGGAAGGAUGGACCCGAUCCUUUUUGCUGAAGUCUGCAGAUUUCAUAGGCCAAGGUGGAGGCCUAGUUGAAAAGGGGGCUCAGGGAAGCCUGGCUAGAGCUUGGUCAAGGAGGGUAUCUUCAUCAGUCGUACGUAAGUACAUGGCACGUGGACCUGCAUAGACAUGUGUUUGGUGGAGGCUGUCUUAUAAGGAUUCUGCACAACUCAAGUCCCCUAAUGGGAACAGACGUGGGGAGGUCACUCUUGAGGCUUUUUGUGGUAUUGUGGCUAUGGGAGACCUGAGGAGGGUUCUGGUCACUAGCAGACUCAUUUCAUUCACCCCUUGGAAUCUGCCCAGGACUUGGACUUCUGUGUAAUAGUAACUUCACGCCCCAAUGAUCCUCCACGUUUCUUGCUGAUGCUGUGAUUGCUCCUCCAAGUUCUCCACCUAUGUCCAUCUGAGCACUUGGUAUUUCUACUCUAGUGUCAAAAGGUCCUGCUCCCAAGUCUCCUCCCAAACAUUUAUUCCAAUUUAUCAUCCAGAUGGCAUCUGGAUGCCUUUGCCAUCCCUCUGUGUUCCAGCAAAGGACACCACCCUUCAGGGAGAUGCUCACAGUGGACUCCUUGUCCUCAUCCUGACUCCCCUUUUCUCUGGCACCCGCAGGCCUCAGUGAGUCUCUCGGUCUCUGGCAGCAGCACAGGUCCUGGACUCGAGCCCAUCUCUCCAUCCCCCCCUCCACUACUCCCCCUGGUCCAGCUGUCACCAUUCUCACCCUCGAAUGACUGUCACAGCCUCCCACCUGGUCUUCCUGCUUUACCAUGUUCCCUGCAGGCUGCCUCUGAACUUUUAUAUUGAAAUGAAACUCUUACUGUGGGGAGAACCCCUCCAUUCUCAGACCCCUGGUACCCUUCACUCAUUUACCACUCUGGCCAUCGCUCACUGAGUUCAGGCCACUCUGGCCUCUGCAUGGUCCUCACGCCCACCAGACUCAUGCCCCCUUCAGGGCUAUUGUCAGUUCUACCCCCUUUUCCUACAAAGUUCUUCCCCAUGUCUUCGUUGCCCAGGUGCUCCCUCCCGACAGAGGCCUUGCUGACCACCCCUACCAAGAUUGCCCCACAUUUAUGUAAAUCCAGUCUGUUUAACUAUUAGGGUGAGUGACCUCCAUUCAUACAUUAUAAAUAAUUUACAGUUAUCUAAAUACAGUGCCUGACUCAACAUAAAGACACAGGAAGUUUAAAUGGAAAGUUUAAUUCAGGUUACUUUUGUCGGGUAUCUCUCUUACAUACCAAAAUAAAAAUGUAUAAAUACAAAAAAAAAAUUAGCCAGGCGUGGUGGCUAAUUGAGAGGAGAUGGGGAAAAGUGAUGUGGGGUUCCCCAAUGUUGUUGAAAUCCAAGGGGAUUUCUUCUUAGAAAUCUCUCCCUACAUCACUCUUGUAGUGAAAUAAAACCAUCUCCAUGUAAUUUAUUAAUUUUGUUUUUUGAAAAAUGUCCACUAUUUGAAUCUAAAUAUUAUAGAAAUUUCUCUUUAAACAUUCCCUUUUACUUUAUCCCAAAAUAAAUCUCCCUUUGCAUAAAUUUUUUCUUUUAUUUUUUUUUUUUUGAGACGGAGUCUCGCUGUGUCACCCAGACUGGAGUGCAGUGGUGCGAUCUUGGCUCACUGCAAGCUCCGCCUCCCAGGUUCACGCCAUUCUCUUGCCUCAGCCUCCCGAGUAGCUGGGACUAUAGGUGCCCGCCACCAAGCCCGGCUAAUUUUUUUUUGUGUUUUUAGUAGAGACGGGAUUUCACCAUGUUAGCGAGGAUGGUCCUGAUCUCCUGACCUCAUGAUCCGCCCGCCUCAGCCUCCCAAAGUGCUGGGAUUACAGGUGUGAGCCACCGCGCCCAGCCAAAUUUUUCAACAAACACAUACUCAAGCCAAAAAAUGAUGCUUUAACUUAUGACUUAAAAUUGUUGGGAGUAUAACUCUAGAAAAAAUAUUGCAGUUGAGUACCGAAAGUAUUGAUAAAUGAAAUCUGUUUUCAAAGUGCAAUAAUUUUGUAGAGGAUAAAAUAGAAAUUGUUAACCUAGGAGAUUAAUACAUAAAUAAUAUUUACAGAGCAUUGUCUUGAGAAAUGCAGUUUGAUGAUGUUUCAGUUUGAGCAAAAGAUGAGGCUCUAAAGUAUGGCAUUUCUUUUGCUGCUAAUGAGAGAGAAUCCAGACUUUGCUGAUGUGCUCCAGGGUCUCCUGUAUUCUUUAGAUUUGGAGGAAUCAACCAUGAAGGAGCUGGCUGCAGUGUCAGAAGGGGAAGGUGGAAACUUCAACACAAAAAGGGGCUCCCCUGGAUCCACUGGCCUCAGGGACCCUUGGAUGGAGUCAACAUGGGAGAACCUGGCCUGGCAGCUCUGGAGGCCUGAGUGGAGGGGAGAGAACAGCGCUGCCCUAAGACCCAGGCCCUCCCGGGGAAGGGAGCAGCAGGGCUUGGCUCUUGGCUGCCUGGCUGGUGUGGAAAAGCUCCUUGUUACGGGGUGACUCCCAUGGCCUCUUCCAGGGACUCCAGCAUAGAUAACGUCUCUGCCAGCCCUUCUUGUUGCUUAGAGAGUCUGGAUCUCUCUUCUUUUUUCUUUUCUUCUUUAAACCUCUCUUCUUUCAGUUCUUGAACCAGGGAUGUGAUUUUUAUUUUAUUUUAUUUUUUUGCAAUGGAGUCUUGCUCUUGUUGCCCAGGCUGGAGUGUAAUGGUGCGAUCUCAGCUCACUGCAAUCUCCACCUCCCAGGUUCGAGCAAUUCUCCUGCUCCAGCCUGCUGAGUAGCUGGGAUUACAGGCGCCCGCCACCAUGCCUGGCUAAUUUUUGUAUUGUUAGUAGAGACGGGUUUCACUGCUGGCCAGGCUGGUCUCGAACUCCUGACUCAGGUGAUCUGUCCACCUCGGCCUCCCAAAGUGUUGAAAUUACAGGUGUGAGCAGCUGUGCCCCGCUGGGAUGUGAAUUUCUGCAUCAGCAUUGCGUUGGUGCUGUUCACCUUAUAAGCAUCUACAAAACUGGGGAUGUUUAAAUACUUUUUCAUACGCCGACAUCUUCUAAGGAUCCCUCAAUCUCUGCAGUGUUUUUUUUUUUUUUUUUUUUGUCAUCACUGUGCUUGCCUGUGAGUUGGCAUUUCUCCUCCAUGUGUGAAUCCAGUGUUUCUGCAAGCUGCUUUUCGUAUGUUACAUGGAGUAGAUUCCUAACAGGUUGUCUAAGGAAAUGAAAGCCACGAAAGUUAGGAUAGUAGUUCCCUCUGAUGGGGGAGAAGGUGUACCAAACAACUGGGCACACCAGAGCCCCCAAUCUUCAAUAUGUUAACCUGGGUAGUGGGUACACAGGUGUUUGUUUUAUUUUUAUGUUAGAAACUAUGUAUAUAUGGUUUAUAAACUCUUCUGUAUGUGUGACAGAUUUCAAAAUACAAACAACAUCAAAAAAGUUUUGAAUAAAGAAUUACCUAGGGAACUUGUUAAGAAGGCGGAUUCCUAGUUCCAUUUCAUAUUCUGAUUCCAGAGACCUGGUCAGGACCACAGAAUCCACAUUUUUUUUUUGAGACAAGAGUUUUGCUCUUGUUGCCCAGGCUGGAGUGCAAUGGUGUGAUCUCGGCUCACCACAACCUCCGCCUCCUGGGUUCAAGCGAUUCUCCUACCUCAGCCUCCUGAGUAGCUGGGAUUACACGCAUGCACCACCACGUCCAGCUAAUUUUGUAUUUUUAGCAGAGAUGGGGUUUCUCCAUGUUGGUCAGGCUGGUCCAGAACUCCCGACCUCAGAUGAUCCACCCACCCUGUCCUCCCAAAGUGCUGGGAUUACAAGCGUGAGCCGCCGUGCCUGGCUUUUUUUUUUUUUUUUUUUUUUGAGACUGAGUCUUGUUCUGUCGCCAGGCUGGAGUGCGGGUACACUGAGCUAAUUUUUGUAUUUUUAGUAGAGAUGGGGUUUCACCAUAUUGGCCGGGAUGAUCUCGAACUCCUGAUCUCGUGAUCCGCCCGCCUUGGCCUCCCAAAGUGCUGGGAUUACAGGUGUGAGCCACUGCGACCGGCCCAGCAUCCACAUUUUUAAAUGAUGCUAAUGGAGGCGGUUCGAAAACCACAGUCUGAGGUGUGUUAAAUACUCCAUGCCCACGUUACACGGAGUCCAUUCCUAAUACAUUGACUAAGUCUGAAUAAAACUAAGACCCAUCACUAAGCCCGUGAGGUGUGGACACACCAGUGUCUUCCCAUGGAGGCUGUGGAAAGUGACUUGAGGACUUGGGUCAUGGGGCGGCAGCCCCACCAUCUCCUCAUCCAGCUUCCCAGGGUUCAGUCCAGGGUCCAGCUCCACAGAGGAUCGCAGCCCCUCCAUGACACUGCAGUCCCACACAGCCAAUAGUGGGGCUGAGAUCACUGUUUUAACUUGGUCAAUCAAGUCAGCUUCAACUGAAAUUAAACCAUUAAAGAUAUUCUGCUACUUCUCUGAGAACCUUGCCCUGGGAAUCGUUAAAAUGCAGAUUCUGAUUUCCUUUCUCAGGGAAGAGGCCUGAUAACCUGCAUUUCUAAGAAGCUCCAAGGUGCUGCCACAGGGCUCUGCCUAGUAACCAUGGAUUCCACAGCCACAACAGACACCAGAGAACACCCCACCAUUCUGCCUGCACCCAAUCAGCAGUGGGCAUCCUGAAUUGGUUAAUUUUAUGAUCAGUUAGAGGGAGAAAUUUGUAAAUAAAAUCUACUUGUCUCAAAAAAAAUUCUGGUAGGAAUGAUUUACAGUAUGAGUUAAGCUUAUCUAUGACCUUCAGCCUCCGCACUUUCUCACCAUCUGGUGAGAGCUGGCACAGUUUUGAAUGUUGGGAUGCAGAAAACUGGCAGUUUUGAGAAUGUUAUAUACUAAAGAAUGGGACAGUUCAAGUAAAAAAUUGAUAAAUGAUAACCUAUGCUCUUGUUGGUUAUUUAUUAAACACGUACUGGCUGAGCACUUACUAUGUGCCAAGCAUUGCACAGCUCGUGCAGAGCGCCAGGCCUGUCAAAACAUACCCAACAAGAAGCAUUAUUUACAGGCACUGUUUACAGGUACUGCACCCUGCUUCCAUCUCUGCACUUGCUAUGCACCAUGUAGGUUUAUGAUCCCCAUUUUACAGAUGAAAAAACCCAGGCACAGAGACGUUGAGAAACAUGCUUCAUGUCACACAGCCAAUAGUGGGACUGAGAUCACUGUUUUAACUUGGUCAACCAAGUCAGCUUCAACUGAAAUUAAACUAUUAAAGAAAGACUUUCUCUUAUUCUGCUACUUCUCUGAGAACCUUGCCCUGGGAAUCUUGUUAAAAUGCAGAUUCUGAUUUCCUUUCUCAGGGAAGAGGCCUGAUAACCUGCAUUUCUAAGAAGCUCCAAGGUGCUGCUGCUAGUUCCAGGACCACACUUUUGAGUUUGGAGGCUGAAGUAUUUAACAGUCUGUAUUGUGAAAAUGGAGGGGCAGUGUAAUGAAGUGGGAGGAGUGUUAGAUGGGAUUGUGAGGCCUGGUAACAGAACCUGGACCUCAGACAUCUGUGUCCCCUUGUGCUUGUCAGUUCACCUCCUUGGGCUCAGGUUAGAUGAGAUCUCUAAAGCAUAACUUCUGCUUCAGUAGCCUGCACAGUGUGUGAAAGUGUCGUUGUCUUUUAUGAAUCCUAGCUGAUGCAGAACCCUUAAAUUAGUUUAGAUUUGAAGAUAUAACAAAAUAAUACACUUUUAAAAAGUGACAGACUGGGCAUGGUGGCUCACACCUGUAAUCCCAGCACUUUGGGAGACUAAGGCAGGUGGAUCCCUUGAGGCCAGGAGUUCAAGACCAGCCUGGCCAACAUGGUGAAACCCCAUCUCUACUAAAAAUAAAAAAUUAGCUGGGUGUGGUGGUGCAUGCCUGUAAUCCCAGCUACUCGGGAGCCUGAGGCAGGAGAAUCACAUGAGUUCAGGAGGUGGAGGUUGCAGUGAGCCGAGAUUGUGCCACUGCACUCCAGCUUGGGUGACAGAGCGAGACUCCGUCACACACACGUGCGCGCGCGCGCACACACACACACACACACUCACAGGUUUCCCCCAAUCCCCAUUAUAGAGUAUUUGAAAAAGUAAAAAGGAAGAAAAGAAUCACCAUCUCUCACUCCAAAGACACCCUGUGUUUGAACAUUUUGGUCUAUUCCAUUAUUUUCUAUGGAAACUGAUUUACUUUUUUUUAUGCAUACUUUUGAUGAUGUGGUAGAUAUAGUGUCUAUCUGGCUCUUAUUUAGCAUUACAAAAUAACUUUUAUAUGUUAUUAAAAAGUCCUAUUUAAUGGCUACAUUAUACUCCAUUCUAUGAAUAUAGCUUACAGUCUGUAUAACCUUUUGUUGUAGCUAUUUCUAAUAUUUUGCUAUUAUAAAUAAUUCCUUUGUUUAGGGUUAUUUCCUUAGAUUCUCAGAUUUAGUUAAAGAAUUUGAAAAGUUUAAGGCUUAUGGGAAAGCUUUUAAGAAUAGUAGUCUCUCUUUGCUAAGUAAAUUUUUAUCUGGAAAAUUUACCUGUGUAGGGACAGAUUAAUAGAAAUUGCCACACCUGAGGAGAUACACUCUUAAUUCACUAAAAGCAAUAAUAAUAUUUGUGGUCAACCUGUGUUGAUGAGUUAGUAGGUCCUAGGCACUGUGUUAAGUUUAUCAUCCUUAUUUUACAGAUGAAGAAAACCUGCUUGAUAUCACACAGUCAGGAGUCAACUGAGUUGGGGCUUUGAACUUAGGUUUAUCUGAUGCCAAAGUUUGUGAUGCUCUUCAACCAUUUAGGGUACCGCAGAGUGUGGAUUUUGAAUCACCUGCAUCAGCAUCAUUUUAAAAUAUAGAUUCUGUGGUCCUGACCAGGUCUCUGAAGUCAGAAUAUGAAGUGGAGCUAGGAAUCUAACUUCUUAACAAGUUCCCUAGGCAAUUCUUUAUUCAAACUUUUUUUGUUUAUAUUUUGAAAUGUGUCACACAUGCAGAAGAGUUUAUAAAACACAUAUAUGGUUUUAAAAAUAAUAGUAAAACCCUGGUUAACAUAUUGAAGAUUUGAGAGCUCUUGUGUGCUCACUUGUUUGAUACACCUUCUCCCCCAUCAGAGGGAACUACUAUCGUAACUUUUGUGGCCUUCAUUUCUUUGCUUUUCUUUAUAGAUCCCUAAGGGUAUCCCUGAAUGAUACAGUUUUGUUUGAAAGACUGAAAAGCCCAAAGCUGGCCCUUUUGGGAAAUAGCAGUAAAUCAUUGAUAUGUGAAGGUUCCCAGCAGGAGGUAAGUUGAGCAAUGUCUUUGGGACAGAGUCUGGAUUCAGUUUCCUUGAGAAGAUUCCACCUGGGGAAGUCAGUGGGCAAGGUCUUGGGAAGAUUGUUAAUCACAGUGAGGGCAUCUGAGCAGGGCUGUGGUUUGAACAGCUGGCAAAAAUAUGGCUGAAGAGGAAGGAGGCUGCUUUUUAUCUUUGCAGCUCAGCUCAGGGAGACAUGAGUAUCUUUAGCUAAUCCAUGCAAUGGGGUGUGGGAAUGGGGACAUGGGAGAAUGGGGAGCCCAUCAGCUCCCAGUUCUUGUCUUAAUCUGUUUUCUGUUGCUAUAGCAGAAUACCUGAGACUUGGAAAUUUAGAAAGAAAAAUGGUUCAUCUGGCUCAUAGCUCUGGAGGCUGGGAAGUCUAAGGGCAUGGUGGCAGCCUCUGGUGAGGGCUUUUGCUCUGUGUCAUAACAUGAACAAAAAGCUGAAGGGCAAGCCAGUGUGUGCAAAAGAGACCACAAGAGUGAGCCAAGCUCAAUUUUAUAACAACCCGCUUUCAGGAGAACUAACUCACUCCUAUAAGAACUAAUUUACUCCCAAGAGAACAAACUCACUCCCCAAAUAACAGUCUUAUCCAUUCAGGAGGGUGGUGCUCCCAUGACUUAAUCACCUCUUAAAGGCCCCACCUCCCAACACCAUCAGUGGCAAUAAAAUUUCAACAUGAGUUUUGGCAGGGGCACUCCAAUCAUAGCAGUCAUUAAGAUAAAGUACAAAUAAGCUUUUGUAUCAGGCUCAACAGGCAGCCUGUCCUUAGACUGGCUUCUUUCAUUGAGUAAUAUGCAUUUAAGUUUCCUCCAUAUCUUUUCAUGGCCUGAUAGCUCAUUUUUUUUUAGUGCUGAAUAAUAUUCCAUUGUCUGGAUGUGCCACAGUUUAUUUAUCCAUUCACCUCCAGAAGAACAUCUUGGUUGCUUCCAAGUUUUGCCAGCUAUGAAUAAAACUGUUAUAAACAUCUGUGUGCAGGCUUUUGUGUGGACAUGAGUUUUCAACUCAUUUGGGUAAAUGUCCUGUCUUUUAAAAAUAUGUUUUUCUCUCUUGUUUUUUAAAAACUUUCCUCCUCAUUUUUGCUCUAUUUUUCUAAAAGAUUUCCUUAGCUUUUUUCUUGACUCAACUGAGUUUUAAAUUUCUGCUAUUAUGGUUUUUCAUUUCUAAGAAGUAUUUUGGUUAAUUUGUUUUCUGAACAUUCCUUUUUUACAGCAUCUUGUUCAUGUUCCACACAAGCAAAACUUUGGUCUCUUAGAGGAUAUUAAUGUUAUUUAUUUAUUUUCUCCAAUUGCAUGGUGUCUGAUUUCCCCAAGUUGCUUUUUCUUUUAUCUUUUUUGUCUUUACUUUUCAUGUCAGAGGCUUUCUAGAUGUCUGUUGAACCUCAGGUGAUUCUAAUGCACCUAGUGGCCUGAGAAGCAGUGCUAGAGAGUCUCCUAACCUCUCCGAAGCUUAAUCAUCCCAACAGAGAUCCCACCAAGAAAAGUGACACAGUUCAGUAUUUUUCCCCAGAACUAGAGCUUUUCUCUUCCAAUUAGAGGCCUAGCACUUUUCCUGAAUGAAAUGUCAUAUGACAGUAGCCUUAGAAGUGGUUUCAUAAAUUAUUUUGUGCAUGGUUCACUCCCCUAGUAUGUUUAUUCGUACCCAUCUUACGUGAUUCUGCCUGUGCCAAUGCUCCUUUGUCCCUGUUUAAGUUGGAGAGAAGCCUGACACUGGCCAUCAGGAACAUGAUGCUGACCUUGGCUGUCCUCACCUGCUGGGCAGACAUAGUUGAGGCCAACAUCCUGGACCCAGAGUAGAAAUUAGAUUCCACUUGUGGAGGCGUGCAGCAGGCCGGAAAGGCCCCUGUCCAAGGCCAAAACAUCUUACCAUUGUAUUGCUGCUGCAGACAGGAAGGGGUGUAUGCCUGUAGAAGUGCUGAGGAUAUGUAAAGGGAAGCCAGGGCCUGCGGUGUUGACACGGGGUAAGUCAACUCACAUUAGAAAUGAACCAUAUUUUCUUUUCUAAUAUAUAUAUUUCAACAAUAAAGUUGUGUGUGUUAAUACGUGUGAUUAAUCUAUCUUUAGUCAUUCAAAACAUUUUUACAAAAUAGGGUGCAUAUGCAAAGAGAUUUGGCAUAGAGAAGGAGGAGAAAUAAUAACAAUGAUUUCCAAGUAGUAGACUUUUAUUAUGUGUCACAAACUUUACACAUACCUCUUUUAAAUAUUAACCUUAUGAGGUGAAUUUUAUUAUAAUCCUUUUUUUUAUAAGUGAGAAAACAGUGAUUUGGAAAGUUAAGAAAUUUCCCCAAUGUCACUCAGCUCCAACGUAACACAGGCAAUAAGUUUGAGAAUCAGCAUUCAAGGCCAGGUCUGUUGAUGACUCUGCUGCCCACAGUCAUAACCAUUAUACCACACUGCCUACACAGUAGACACUCAGUCACUUUUGAAUGAAUGUUCUGGCAGGACCCUAUUAUUAACUUAGAUGCAAUAGCACCCAGAUUUGGACACACUAACCAUCCCAUUAGAAUCCCCUGUAUCAGUUAGCCAUUGUCAGAGUAAUGCUAUGAAACAAACCACUCCUAGUCUUAGUGGCUUAAAAUAACUGUCAUUUAUUCUGAGGGAUCUGCAGGUGAUGUGGCUCUGCUUCAGGCUGUGGUAGCUGGAAGUCAGCUGAAAUAGACCGGGCUGGGUUGAGUGGGUCUCUUUUAAGCUACAGAUCUGCAUAAACUUGGCUCCUUUCUUAGCUACUUUGCAUGUAAGCUAAUUCUGAGACUCAGCUUGAAGGGGCAGUAGCCAAUGGGGGGAAGGUCUUUUUGUAGCAAUGACAGACAUGUCAGAGGGCACACUUAACUGCACAAACCAUUUCACACCCUUGUUAGUGUCAUGUCUGCCACCAUCCCACUGCCCAAAACAAGUCAUCUGGUUGAGUCCAAAGUCAAGACAUGGGGCUGCAAAGUCAUGUGGCAGAGAGCAUAAAUUUGGGGUGGUAGUGAAGAAUUGAUGCUAAUAAUUCAACCUACCACACCUGCCCAGACCUAACAUAUGCCUGCACAGUAUGCCUGUAAAUAAAUGUUUACAGGGAAGCAAAGUGACGAGGUCUAACAUAUUUCCUAUGUCUAUUUCAUGAAGAUCAUCAUUACUGCUGCACAGAGAAUAGAUUGAAGGAACAGGGAGGGAAGCUGAGAUGCCAGCUGGGAACCUGGUGCUGGGUGAGAGAUAACAGUGGCCUAGAUGUGGGUGGUGACAAUAGAGAUGGAAGGAUCUAGACCCAUAAGCACCACACACAGCUUAUGGAGUUACUAUCAUUGCUUUAAAGUUACUAUCAUUAUUUUAAAAAAUACGGUAGUCUAGUCUACCAACUAUACUAUAAAUUCCAUAUUUUUACAAUGUAUAUAUAAUUCUUUACAAUGUACAUGUGAGGUAGACAGUAAAAAAGAUGAAAGCAAAUAUGGAAAGGACUGUUAGAAUUUAUUUAAUUUACCCUGGGCCUAAAAAAUGUCGACACAUUAUAAUUCUCUUGAUGGGGACAGAUUUGGCAUUUUUCUAUACUUAAAAAAAUGUUCCUUUGGGAGGCCAAGGGGGUAGGAUUACUUGAGCCCAGGAGUUCAAGACCAGCCUGGACAACAUAGCAAGACCCUGUUUCUAAAAAAAUAAAUAAAUAAAUAAAAAUAAUUAGCUGGGCAUGGUAGUGCACGCCUGUGGUUCCAGCUAUUUGAGAAGCUGAGGCAGGAGGAUCAUUGGAACCCAGGAGGGUGAGGCUGCAGUGAGCUAUGCUUGUGCCACUGCACUCCAGCCUGGGCGACAGAGCGAGACCCUCUCUCAAAAAACAAAAACAAAACGAAGUUCUCUUGCCUCUAAAGUUUCUAUAGUUCAGUGUGAUGACAUUUAGAACUCUAGAAUGUUGGGUUUGUCAUUUGUCAAUGACACUUAAAUAUCUGUGUAAUGGGACAGUUCCUUCCAAAAAAAAAAAAAAAAAAAAAAGGGAAACUCACCCAAACAAAAAGUUGUGUUUUGGUGUUGUGAAUAUGGGUGGUAGCAUUAUUCCUUUAUAGGCUUUUAAAUGUUAUCAAAUAGUUAACACAACAGGUCCUCAAAUAACAUUGUUUCCUUCAACGUUGUUUCAUUACAAUGUUGAUGAGAAAAAAAAUUGAUUCCAGCCCCGGGCCACUGUCUGUGUGGAGUUUGCAUGUUCUUUCCAUGUCUGCGUGGGUUUUCUCUGGGUACUUCGGUUUCUUCCCACAUCCCAAAGCUGUGCACAUUAUGUUCAUUGGUGUGUCUGAACUGUCCCCGCGUGAGUGCGUGUGGGUGGGUGUGUCAGAGUGUGUCCUGCGAUGGAAUGGUGUCUUCUCCAGGGCUGGUUUCUGCCUGGUGCCCUGAGCUGCUGGGACACGCUCCAGCCACCACGGCCCUGAACUAGAAUAAGUGGGUAAAUAUUAAUAACUAUCUUACUUGUUUUUAUUAAUCUUUCUUAAAUACAUGUAUAGCCUUCAACGUUUGAUAUUAGAAAUGUUUUGGGUCCUUAUUUAGAAGUUUGGUGAUGUUUUGUGACCAGAAAUAUGCCAUAGGAACUCACCUCUUGUGUAUAUCAAUUAGCUUAUGGUAAAAUUGGUUCAUUCUGGACCAUUUGGCUUAAAGUCGCAGUUGCCAAGAAUUUAUCAGCAAUAAUGUUAUGAGGACUUACUGUACCGCUUUCCUAGGCCACAACAUCUGAUGAAUGCUUUCAAGUAGUACAUCAAUUAAAAUAAAAGUACGGAAAUAGUUUUAGGUGCAGCAGCACCCUCUCUCUCCACCUCCAGUAGAUUCUCUGGAAUCGCUGGCAACUUCUUGAAUAAUUAACCUUGGUGGCCUUGAGCUCUUUCCCCUGAUCUUAGUUGUCCCUGGUUCCACCUUCUGCUCUGCCACCUUGUGGAUUUAUUGGGAAUUGCGUCUUCUACUGGGAGCCUUGCCGACUCACCUAGUUACCCCGCUGGGGCUUUUCCUGAUAACCGGGAUGGGGUUUAGAAGAGAAUUCUCACCGCCUGAGUGACACUCACAAUAAGACACUUUGCUCUUUCGGUCUUUCUAUAUUCCUCCCCCUCUCGCUUCUUUUAGGACAACAUCCAGAGGCCAAGCUGAAGGGCAUUUGAUGGCCCUGCCAGUAUCACACCUGAACGGCCCUCCCCACCCGAGACUUGCAGCAGCCUCCCAGGGUGUGAUACAGGCUCCGACUCUCUCCAGUCUCACCACCUCAGUCCACCAGAGGUUGCCUUAUGCUUUAAAAAAUUAUAAAAAUAAUACAAGCUUGCUUAAAGCUUACCAGUGAAGGAGACAGAUUUUUAAAAAGUAAACAAAUAAAUGCAAUACGUAUAAAUUAUGGUGAGUGCUGUGAGAUGGAGAGUGGUGGUGGUGGGGGCAGGGAACUUUUUAUUAAGAAGGCUGGUAAGGGCAGGCUUUCCUGAGUAGGAGAAAUUUCAAAUUGAAACCUGAAGGAUGAGAUAGAUCCAGUCAUUAAAAGAGGGAGAAAAAGCACAUGCAAAGGUCCUGAGGCGGGAGUGGGCUUGUUAAGCUGAAAGUGAGUGAGUGUGGCCAGAUGGCAGUGAGCAGGAGGGGAGUGGUUGGAGUAAGGUUUGAAAGGGCAGUAGGCACAAAAAACACAGGGUCCUGUCGUGCUUGGUAGGGAUUUUAAUUUUAUUCUGACUCUCAUGGGAAGAUGAGGAAAGAUCUUAUGCAUGGAAGUGAUGAGGUCUAACUGAUACUUUCUAUUUCAUCCUUGCUGCUGCCUGGAGAACAGAUUGAAGUGAACAGGGAGGGAAACUAGAAUCCCAUUUGGGAGCCUGGUGCCAGAAGCUGGGUGAGGGAAACAGUGGCCUAGACUUGGGUGGUGGCAUUAGAGACGGAAGGAUCUAGAUCCAUGUUGUCUAAUAUGGUAGCACUAGCCACAUGUGGCUACCGAGCACUUGAAAUGUAUAAGUGUAAAAUCUACACCAGAUCUUGAAGGUUUAGUACAAAAAAAGGUAUAAAAUCUCUCAUUGACAACUUGUUUAUAUUGAUUAUGUGUUAAAAUAAUAAUAUUUUGGAUAUUUCAUCAUGUUAAAAUAUAAUAUUAAAAUAUUUAACCUUUUUACUUAAAAAAAGUGACUACUGAAAAAAUUUAAAUUACAUAUGUUGUUUGCAUCUGUGGCUUUAUGUUUUUAUUGGACAGUGCUGAUAUAGACAAAAGUUGCAAAAUUUAAAAAAAUAUUUUUUUUUGGAGACAGGGUCUUGUUCUGUUGUCCAGACUUGAGUGUAGUGGCAUAAUCAUUGCUCACUGCAGGCUUGAACUCCUGGGCUCAAGUGAUCCUCUGACCUUGGAAUCCCAAAGUGUUAAGAUUAUAGGUGUGAGCUACUAUGUCUGGCCAAAAAAUACUUCUAUUGUAAAUUUACAUUGGACACAUUAGAAAUUUAUAGCUAAGUAUAGAUUUUGUUUCUGGCCCACAGAAGAUAUUUAUUUGAUAUAAUAAAACAAAAUAGUGUUCUAUCCAACCACAAAGAGUAAAAGGAGUGAAAAAUUUGAAUAUACACAUACAAAACUCAAGCUGUUUAACGUGACAAUUUUUCUUUUUUCUUUUUUUUUUAAAAUAAUGCUACUAGCUGCACGUGUUGACUCACAUCUGUAAUUCAAGCAUUUUUGGAGGCCAAGGUAGGAGAAUUGCUUGAGCUCAAGAGUUUGAGACCAGCCUGGGCAAUAUGGCAAAACCCAUUUCUACAAAAAUAUACAAAAAUUAGCUGGGCAUGGUGGCACAUGCGUGUAGUCCCAGCUACUAGUGAGGCUGAGGUAGGAAGAUCACUUAAGCCUGGGAGGUUGAGGCUGUACUGAGCCAAGUUCGUGCACUCCAGCCUAGGUGACAGAGGGAGACCAUGUUUCAAAAAAAAAAAAAAUGCUCUAAAAUUCCUUAGUUAUUGAAAAUUAUGUGAAAACAGAAGGAUGUUAAUAGCAGCAGAGUGCAUGAAAUCAAGUAUUGAAUUUUGAGCAAAUGGGCCAGGUGCAGUAAUUCUUUCUUGCCUGUAAUUCCAGCACUUUGGGAGGCUGAAGCAGGAGGAUCACUUGAGCCUGCAAGUUUGAGACCAGCCUGGCUAACAUAGUGAGCCCCUAUCUCUGCAAGGAAGAAAAAAAAUCAGCUGGGCAUGGAGAUGCACACUUGUAGUCCCAGAUACCCAGGAGGCUGAGAUGGGAGAUCAUGAGCUCAGGAGGUUGAGGCUGUAGUGGGCUGUGAUUGCACCACUGCACUUCUGCCUGGGCAACAGAAUGAGACCCUGUCUCAAAAAAAAAAUUUACUUAUAUAUAUAUAUAUAUUUGAGCAAAUGAACAUGUGAGACAACUUUGCUAACAUUGCAUGAUCUUUUUUUUCUUGUUUACAAUCUGCUCAAAAUAUCUUUAUGCUGACUGUGUGGGCAGCACAUUCAGGUUUAAUAUCAGUUACACAUUAGCAUAAAUUUGGAGAAAUACACAUAGGGUAUUGUUUUCUUUUGAGCUGGCAAAGUGACCACAGAAACAUCAGAUCAUCUCUCUGAAUACAGAAUUUUAUCCAAAUAAAUGUCACAUGCUUUCCAGACAUAUUUUAAUCAUGUAUUGAAUUUCUUAGGCUGAAAGCAGUGUCUCAUGCCUGUAAUCCCAGCACUUUGGGAGGCUGAGGCAGGAGGAUCGCUUGAGCCCAGGAGUUUGAAACCAACCUGGUCAAAAUAGUGAGACCCUGUCUCUACAAAAUAAAAAAAUAAAAAAGUUAAUUGAGUGUUGUGGUGCGUGCCUGUAGUCCCAGCUACUCGGGAGGCUGAGGUGGAAGGAUCGCUUGAGUCUGGGAGUUAGAGGCUGCAGUGAGCCUCUGCACACCAGCCUGAAGUGAGACCCAGAGUGAGACCCCCAUCUCAAAACCAAACCAAACCAAACCAAGCCAAACCAAACCAAAACAAAACAAGAAACUUUCUUCAUGUGAUAUUUAUAGAUGAUUUGAAUUUGAAAUGACUUCAGCUUCUUAAACUUUUGUUGUCCUUAUAAAAAUACCCUUGAAUCUGGAGCAUGGCUGGUUCCAGUCUUAUGACAGCAUGUUGCGUGAGGCCCUGUAAAAGAUGAGGAGUUGUCCCUGAGGUUAUGGGGCUUACUGGGAAGAGCACAUGAUCUAGAUUUGAAGACAGAAGACGUAGGCUCUACCUUGGCAUCCAUAAUGUGUGAACUUGAACUUGAUUUCACAUCUUUGAAUCUCACUUUUCUUACUGUAAAAUGGAAGUGGACGAUGAAUAGUACUAGCUGCCAUGAAGGUCAUAGCUUUCCCCUCAUCCUUUAUUGCACCCCACAAGGUAGGUGCUCUUAUCUCCUUUUGACAGGGGAGGAAACUGAAGUUCAGAAAGGGUAAGUCACUUACCUAAGGCUAUAUUGCUAGAAAAAAUUGAAGCUAGGAUUUGAACUCUGUUUUUCUGUCUCUAAAGUCAGCUGAAAAUUGUUUUUCCCCACUCAUCAUGCCCCUUGCUAAUUUCCCUGCCUACCUCUGAGAUUAUUGGGAAGAUCAAAUUAGACUGGUGAAUGGGCUUUAGAAAAAUGUCCUAAAAGAUACAAAUGUGUAAUAGAUCAUGAAUUCUCAAUGAAACAGGAGCAUAAAUGGAAGCUCCAGAGAAACACUCACAAACGUCUGUCUGGUGCUUAUCUGUCUGUUUAAAUGAAGUGAAUAUCACAUGUUGCUUUUUCAGAUUCAAGCUCUGAAAGUCAUAUUACAGAGGAACAAUUUCCUUCCUCAGGAUGAAAAUUUACAGGAAUUCGGAGGAAAAUAUUUCAGUGGUCAUUACUAAAACGCUCAGAGUCAGAUACAUUCAGCAUCAUACCAUAAGUCCCGUUAGUCAAAGCAUAAACAAGCACAGGGCCUGGCGUGGCUUCCUUCAAGUUGGCUGACUCAGUCUGGGAGGAUUCACUCAGCAAGAGGCAGAGGAACCAAGGCAGGAUGAAGACAUUGCCUGUGCUCGUGCUGUCUCUUACCUUACUGACUGUCUUCUCAGAUGGCUCAUGAACUCCUGAGCCUGAGUGUCCUUAAGGCACCUUCCCGACUUUUCCAGAGACCUCCCCGAUUUUGACAGAGAAGCAGGCCAAACAGCUCCUAAGAUCUCGGCGACAGGAUAGACCAAGCAAACCCGGAUUCCCCGACGAGCCAAUGCGGGUGAGUGCUUUGCUCUGGCAGUUUUAAAGAAAAUGUGAUCAUUUGAAUGCCAUUCACUAUGAAACUAGGUGUUGGUCCCAGCAUGGGCUGCUAGUUAGGGGUUCGGUUAGAGUUUCAGGUAGAAGAUAGCUGCAAUCUCAAUCUUUUACCUAUGCAUUUUCUUCUUUGGAGGUGCCAGCCCGACUCACCUGUUAUGAACAGGGUAACUUAAAAUAGAAAAUAAUGAGGCCAAUGGUGGGAGUUCUAGAAUCUGGAGAGGGCUGCUGAAUGUCACCCCUGUCCUGCUGGGGAGCUGUUCCCUUUAGCCAACGCUAACCCCAUCUCCUGCCUCUUCACUUGGGCCCCGGAGCAGGCUGGACCAGCAUCCUUGGUCAAUGAUGGUCUGUCCAGGCAGGGAGAAUCUCUGCCCCAGCUGCCUGAGGGGUUCUGCUCCAAUCUCAUCCCUCUGAUUUUGGUCUCUGGCCUUACUUCUGCCCUGUGGGGUCAUGAUAUCCACCUGCCUAGUCUUUCUGAACCAGGCUCCCUCUGUGAGUAGAUGUUACUAGACCCUGCUAUGCUGGCCCCGGACCCAAUUCAGGCCUGGCUUGGUUCCUCCUGUUGCUAAAAUGAUACUGACUUUGGUGGCAUUUUAGCCCCACCCAGUGAAGGGAAGUAGCAGUGACCCAGCAAAGUUAGAAUGUCUGGGAAGCCUGUCUGUCAGGCUGGUCUCCCAUCCUGGCCCCUUCAUCUGGGCACGAUGCUUAUCCUGUUUUCCCUGAAUCUCCAUGUUGCGGCUCAGAAGGAGCUGCAGUAGCAUUUACCUUCAUUCACUGCAAAAUCUCGUGCAUAAUUAGAUUAUUUCAUUUAAAGGCUCUUAUUAAGAUAUAGUAUUGCACAGUGACGAAGAGUGCUGACUUUGGGGUCAGACUGGGUUUGAAUCUCCCUGUUUACUAACUGGGUAAAUUUGGGGAAGUUUCUUCACAUUUCUGCAGCUCAGUACUCUCAUCUAUAAAAUGGGGAUAAUAAAUACUAUUGCUGAUAUUACUAUAAUAUUAUUAUUAUAAAUAAUAAAUGUAAAAUAAUUAUGAUGAUAAAACAAAGUACUUCUUAAGAAAGCACUUAGAAAGUGCUCAGCAAAUGGUAAGUACUCCUCUGAAUAUUAAGUACCUGGUACCUGCUAGGUGCUGGGGCUGUAGGUUUCUGCUCAAAGUCUGUGGUGGAGACAGAAGUAAGCAAAUGGCUGCUAUGCAGUAUGAUUUAAGAACAGAUGACUUCAGGCUCUUAGGGAUAGAUGUGGCUUUUAAUUUUUUUUUUUUUGUAGAAUAAGAGGUAUCUUGGGUUUUAUCUUGUAUCUAGUAGAGAACAACUGAAGGAUUUUUCAAGUGGGGGAGUACAGAUCUGGGUGUUAGAGAGUUUGAGACAAUGAGAGAAGGGGCCCAUGAUUGAAGUCUGGGAUCACCAACACUCAGAGGUGGGCAGAGGAAGAGGAACCCUGAAAGGGCUGAGAAGGAAUGCAGAGAGAUAGAGAAGCCAAGAGAGUGGGGGUGGCAGAGCAAGGCGGGGAGGCAUAGGAGGGGCUGGGGUGAAGGAAGGGCAGCAUGUGCACAACUGUGAUGGGGAGGAGGAUGCCUGGAGGGAGGGAUCCUGUUGGCGGCUGGCGGGUUGGGGGUGGGGGCUCUGGCUGGCCCCCUGUGCUUUUGGCAUGAUGCCUGGAGCGGCCAUUCUGCAGCUCUUCCUCAGGGACCCGGCAGGGGCUGGGGGAGCUGGUUGAAGAGUCCUCAAAGCAGUGGCUCCUGCUCAAGGUGCUCGAGAGGCAGCUCUAAUGACUCCCACGUCUGCCCCCUGACAUUUUCUGUGCCAGCAUCUGCACCUGGCUCUUUUGAACUCUGUCUGUGGAAUAACAGUCUUUGUCCUAACUGAGGCAUUGUAGAUGUGGGUGAACAGGUGGGUUUGAAUUGCUGCAGCCCGUUGUUGCAACUGUUGUUGCCAGGCUAGACUCUGGCCCUAAAACCCUGUUUUGUGUGGUCCUUCCCCUGCUCAAAAACUUCUGAAAGCUUCUCCUCUGUUUGCUUUUUCCCACUUGUGGUCAUCACCUCCCUUAAUCCUUGACAGCCCUCUGCUUGCUUCCAACUUUGCGAUUUUACUGAAUAUCUGGCUUUUUCUGGUUUGUUUUGCUCAUCUUUUAUAGGCUUGACCACCACCUGCUCCUCUUAACUGCCUCGAACCUACCUGAUUAGUUUCCAUGUAACUCCUUCUUGCCUCAGAACCUAUUGCUGAGCCACCAUCCCAUCCUCCAUGUCCCUCUCAGAGACACUUCAUCCAAUGUCCAGAAUCCUCAGGCAUUCAGUCCAGUUUGGAAAAGUGGUCAUAUGUUUUACAAUUGAAAUGUGAAACAAACAUGCAGUCAAUUAUUGGGUGGCUAGUCUACACCAGUAGUUCUCAUCCAUAGGUGAUUAUGCCCCCUCAUCCCCAGGGACAUUUGACAAUAUCUGAAGACAUUUUUGGUUGUUACACCUGUGUGGGGCAUUGCUUUUGGCACCCAGUGGGUACAGACCAGGGAUGCUGCUAAACACCCUACACAGGGCACAGGGCAGCCUCCACCACCCUCUGGCCCAAAAUGUCAAUAGUGCCAAAGGAGAGGAACCGAGUCUACACAUUGCCAAGUAAACUUUUUCUUGUUUACUCUCUGUCAUGCUGUGUGUGUCUCUCUCUGUCUCUCUCUAUAAUUGCACUCACUUGAACACACACAGAAUUGGUUGAAUUAACAAAUAGUUUCUGGUAUCGUAUUUUUUCUAGAAAUGUGUUUCUUAACUUUGGUUACAUUCUGGAACCACCUGGGGAAUUUAAAUUCUGAUGCCUGGGUCCCACUCCCAGAGGGGUGGCCUGGGGUGGGACCUGGGUAUGGGGGAUGGGGCCAAAGCCCCAGUGAUGCCAACCUGCAGCCGAGGCUGAGAACCACUGGGCUAGGCCAUCUGGGAGAAAUCAGCCACGUGUAUAGCAGCUCCUGUGGUCUAGUUGGGAACAUAAAAGCAUUUAGAAAGCUGUUAAAUGUUGAACUGGGUGGUAUGGAGAGUAUCUUAGUUGUUUAGACAAAAAGAGAGAGUGAGAGGGUCAAGUGGUGAGUGCUGAUCAAGAUGUGCACUUAAUUAGAUUUUAUAUUGACCGUGCCCUACUAAGCACCAGGGACUGAGGAUGAAAGAUAAACCAGACGUUCUUCCUUACUCAAGGUGCCCAUUGUGUGGAGGUGGAGCCAGAGUGCCCCAGCCUGAUUUGGGCUCACUAAUGAGGUUAUCUGGUACAAUGGACUGCGGCUCGGCAAGAAGAGAGUCUCAAGCCCCAGCCUGAUUUGGGCUCACUAACGAGGUUAUCUGGUACAAUGGACUGCGGCUCUGCAAGAAGAGAGUCUCGAGCUCCAACUGGAAGGAAAGGGGAGGCUGGGAUGGCUUCCCAGAGGAGGUGCCCACCCAGCUGUGGCUUGAAGGAUGACCAGGAGUUCUCAGGCAGGGCAGGGGGUAGGGAUGAGGCAGGAAGAAUAUUCCACCCAGUGCAUUUCCAGUCCAUAUUCUGCCGCUAACUAGUUGUGGACUUUGGGUAAGUCACUUCCUCUUUUGGAAGCCUAGUUUUUUCAUCUAUAAAAUGCAGAGUUUGGCUGGAAUCUGGCCUAGAUUCCAGAAUGUCUAGUUCCAGGUCUCAUAUUGUAGGGCUCUGGAUAGAACCUUGGGGCUGACACAGGUUUCCUGGUGCCAGUCUGCAAUGUGACAGAAGAGCCAGAGGCAGCAGGAUACCAACCCAAGCGAGGAGUCAGGCAGUUUAUUCUGAGGCCCCUGGAGGGGUAUCCCUAGAAACCACAGGCCUCCUCACCUCAUGCUGGCCCUGCGGCUGGGAGUACUCCACAUCCUCGACUUACCAUUUGACCCACUCACGCUUCUUGGGUCUCCUUGUUGACUUCUUCUUUUAUGGAUUUACUGAAAGCAAAAUUAAUAAUGCCAGUCAGUGGCAUGUAAAAAGAGGUAAUUUACUGCAUUUAACUGUGACUGUCAAAAUGAUCCUGGCCCUGCACUCCCAGUUGGAGCAUAAGAGGCAGUGGCCUCAGGUUUGUCCUUGGGUGGUGAGGAGCCGAUAAGCCUGGACCUCUGGCCAGGGGAGGUCAGAGGCUGGCAUUAGAGCUGCCGUACGGGCCCACAUCUUCAUAGCCUGGGAAGGAGGGAGUUCAGAGGCUAAGGCCUUUGCCUCCUGGGAGCCAGCCCUUCUGGCUCUUUGCCUUUUGCCAAGACCUCCUCACCCUCCCUGUUUCUGAGUGUAGGCCAAGAACAGCUGCGCACAGAUGUCCCUUUGCUUGGGAAGAGGGUGGGAUGGAUGCACCAUGCUGUGAAUUUGGCUGCCAGUAUUGUGUAUGUGUGUAUGUGUGUGUGAAUGUGUGUGAGGGGUGUGUGUAUGAGGGUAUGUGUGAGGGUGUGUGUGUGAGGGGUGUGUGUGAGGGGUUUGUGCAUGUGAGGUGUUUGUGUGUGUGAGGGAUGUGUGAGGGGUGUGUGUGUGAGGGUGUGUGUAUUCGAAUGUGAGAGUUGUAUGAGGGGUAUGUGUGUGAGGAGUAUGUGAAGGUGUGUGAGGGUGCAUGAGGAGUGUGGGAGAGCAAUGCAUGUGUGUGAGGAUGUAUGUGAGGGGUGUGAUGGUGUGUGUGAGUGUGUGUGUGAAGGGUGUGUUCAAGGAGUGUGUGUGAGGUGGGGGUGUGUGAGGGGUGUGCAUGAGGGGUCUGUGCAAGGAGUGUGAGGGUGUGUGUCAGAAGUGUGAGGGGUAUGUGAGGGUGUGUGUCAGAAGUGUGAGGGGUGUGUGAGGGUGUGUGUCAGAAGUGUGAGGGGUGUGUGAGGGUGUGUGUCAGAAGUGUGAGGGGUGUGUGAGGGGUGUGUGUGAGGGAUGCAUGUGUGAGGGUGUAUGAGGGAUGUCUGAGGUGUGUGUGUGAAGGGUGUGUGCAAGGAUUGUGUGUGAGGUGAGUGAGGAGUAUGUGUGAGGAGUAUGUGUGAGGGGUGUGUGAGGGUGUGUGUAAGGGUGUAUGUAAGGGGUGUGUGUGAGGUGUGUGAAGGUGCAGGUGUGUGUGAGGGUGUAUGUGUAAGGGGUGUGUGAGUGUGUGAGGGUGUAUGUGUAAGGGGUGUGUGAGUGUGUGAAGGUGUAUGUGUAAGGGGUGUGAGGGGUGUGUGAGGGGUCUGUGUGUGAGGUGUGUGUGUAGAGGGGUGUGUGUGAGGGUGUAUGUGUGAGGGGUGUGUGUGAGGGCUGUGUGUGUGAGGGGUGUGUGUGUGUAGAGGGGUGUGAGGGUGUAUGUGUGAGGAGUGUGUGAAUGUGUGUAAUAGGUGUGUGUGAGGGUCUGUGUGUGAGCAGUCUGUGGGGUCUGUGAGGGUGUGUGUGUGUGGGUGUGUGUGCGUGAGGGUUGUGUGUGAGGGGUGUGUGUGAGGGGUGUGUGUGAGGCUGUGUAUGUGUGAGGGUGUGUGUGAGGGGUGUAUGUGAGGGUGUAUGUGUGAGGGGUGUGUGAGGGUUCGUGUGUGUGUGUGUUUUGAAAAGGCCUUACUGAGUAUUUUUUCAGAAGGUCUGAGUUCCAGCCCCCUCUUCUACUUUCGCCUUGACUUGCGGACCUGGGUUUUGUGGAAUGAUGGCAGAUGGCAUCGCCAGGUUGUUGUGAGGCUGGGUUGGAAGGUACUUGGAUGCCACAGCAGAGUUGGGUUUCUGUACACAGUAGGGAGCUGUGCAGGGAUUUCAAGCAGGGGAAUGAUGUGAUUAGAUCUUGUUUCCAGGGGCCCUUUAGAGGUUCAGGACACAGCCUCUUAAAUGCUUGCCUUUAGAUGCUGUCAUACCUGGGAAAUAGGAAGUGACGUUUUGGAUGCGCUAUUGCACCUUCUUGCCAUGGUACCCAGGAGACAAACAAGUGGACUUGGGCAAAUGAGUAGAGUUAGUGAUCAUUGGAGAAUGCAUGUGCCCUUGAGAACAGAGCCACAUACCCUCACACACACCCCUCCACACUAAAUCACCGAGAGAUGACUGGUCAGGUUAUUUUAUUUUGCUUCUCCAUGUUAAGGGACUGUGCAAAAGAAAACACUUUCAGAGAGGGAAGAGGCCAUUGAUGAGGGUAAACAAAUGGUGCUUUAGGGGAGGUGUUAAGAAUUCAAAAUGAAAACAAGUAUGAAGAUUUGCAGAAGUCUCUCCUCAUGAAGAUCUACUGAGCCAUGUUUAUAAACUUAACACUUGGCUUAAAUAUUGGAGAGGUUGGCUUCUGUGGAUUUAUAGGCUUUUUGAAAACAGGUUGAGACAAGCUGUGCCCGUGCACACAAAGGGCUAGACUGUUUGACAUAGAUCCUGCUGAUUCACUGCAACAAGCUGUUCUUUUCUGACUUGGUGGUGGGAAGGACAAAGUGCUUUUGAGAAGAUUGCUGGGUAACCCUGUACUGUAGGGAGGGCCAGUAUUCAACCCAGAGGAGCACGGACAUCUUGCGGGGAACCUAGAUGAAGGAAGGCAAGGCCCAGAGGGGAUGGAGAGGGAGAUCAGAGGGAGACAGAUGGCUCUGGGUAAGAGAGAAGGAGGGAUUUUGAGUGUAUGGAGGCAGUGUAUGGAGGUAGCGUAUGAAGAGAAAGGUGGGAAGGUAGAACCCAAGGACGGCAACCCACUGAAAUUCCCAGCAGCAGGAAUAACGGAUACAUUUAUUUUAUGGUAACUCUGGACACUGAGUUUAAAUUUGCUUUCUGCUCUGUGCUGUUAUUACCCACUGCUACCCCCAAACCUUAGGACAAGUCCGCUACAUACAGAAACUUUGUGUUAGUUGUUCCUUGAGGGAAUGGUGGAUGGCAGGGAUGUGUUGUAUGGGGUGGUGGGGGCUGACAAGAGAGCAAGGGAAUGGCUAGAAUGUGGAAGUGGCAGGGGUAGAGAAAUUGGUUAUGAGAAUAUUCAGAAUAAACUUGACCCCACAUUUUCAGAGAUUUUGGAGAGUAGGGUUCUAGACUUCAUAGGAAUGGGAUGAACCCUCUCCGAAGGCUGGAACUAAUUUGCUUGGAGACAUCCCUUUUGGAGGCAUGUAGGUUUCAGCUGAAUUGACUUUCUACUAUUUAUUUAUUUAUUUAUUAUUUAUUUAUUUUUGAGACAGGGUCUCACUGUGUUGCCCAGGCUGGAGUGCAGUGGUGCGAUCAUGGCUCACUGGAGUCUGGGCCUCCUGGGCUCAAGCGAUCCUCUUGACUUUAUACUUUAGACAAAGUGGCCCCAUCAUGUUAGAGAGCUCAUGGUGUAAUGAAGGCUCAAGAUCCUGACAGAGAAAAAACCUCUGUUUGGGGAGAAAUUAAUGAAGAUCAGGCUGUGCGAAAAGAAGGGCUAGGUUUGUGUUUAGAGGGAAGAAGGUGGAAAAAUAUUCUGAGCUUUCCUUGAAGGUUUCCUUAGUGAUGAAUGUGCUUAUGUUGAUUUUCAGGAUUGUGGUCUAAACUCUUGCUGUUCAAAAUAUGAUCCCCAGCUGGGCUGCAUGGGCCUUACCUGGGAUCCCGUCAGACAUGCAGACCCAGGCUCCUCUCCAUACUUCCCAAAGGCAAAUCUGUGCCUCCCUAACCCCCAGGUGAUCCCUGUUCACCUUCAAGUCAAGAAGUGCUGUCUUGGAGAACUGCAAAGGUGGUCCAUCUCUGCUCCUGGCAUCCUGGGACUGGGAACCAGUACAUGUUAGUUUUGUUUUGACACAAUUGAUCUCUCUUCCUUCCUUCUGGGCACUCUGCUCACUUGGUUUCCACUUUCCCAGCAUGCCUCGCCCAGGCUUCUCAUUCCACUUGGUGGCUCCCACUGCUAGGUUUCCUUUACUGGAUUCUUGGCCUCUGACAGCUGUUUAAAUGUCAGGAGGUCCCAGGGCUCUGCCCUCCAUGUGGCUUUAAAGCUCACCUCCCUGCUGAUGGCACACACUUCUAUCUCCAGCCUGACCUCUUCCCGGUCAUUUACAUGACUGUCUACUCCACACCACUGUUUGUACUGGAAUAUUUAACAAGCAUUUCAGAUCUAACAGCCCAAACAAAAUUCACUGUUUUACCCUCAUAAUGGCUGCUGCCUUAGCGUUCCACAUUGGGCUAAGGGGACCACCUCCAAAUCCAGAACCUGACUACUUCUCACCCUCCACUGCCAUCUCCACCACAAUUGUCUGUAGAGUGGACUAAGCAAUAAUCUCUUAAUGGUCUCCCUGCUUCCUGUCUUGCUGUCAAUGGAGCAGUCAGAGUCAUUUCUUAAAGUGUAAACAAGAUCCUGACCCUCUCCUGCUCAAAACCUGCCAAUGACUUCCUGUCUUACUCUGAAUAAAAUUCACAGUCCUGGUCAGGUGGGGUGGCAUGCACCUGUAGUUCCAGCUACUCAGGAGAGGCUGAGGUGGGAGAUCGAUUGAGCCCAGGAGUUCAAGGCUGAAGUGAGCUAUGAUUGCUGCACUCCAACCUGGGUAACAGAGUAAAAUUCUGCCUUCCUAGGACUCACACCCAAAACAAUACUAUAUGCAGUAUUUAUACAGGUACAUGGAUAUGCAUGUAAAUUUCUAAAAGAAGAUCUAGAGAGGUAAUCAGUUGACGUUUAACUGUAUCAUCUCAUUUAGGAGACUAGGAUUAAAGGUGGUGAUUUGAUGUUUGAAUUGUAUACUAGAGUAAUUACUUGUAUAAUUAAAAAUAUUUAAACCUUUCACAUGUACUAUUGAAAAAUUGGAAACCAAGAAAGAGUCAAAAGAAUAAAAGAAAAUCAACUGUAGGCCGGGUGUGGUGGCUCACGCCUGCAAUCCCAGCACUUUGGGAGGCUGAGGCGGCCGGAUCACGAGGUCAGGAGAUCGAGACCAUCCUGGCUAACAUAGUGAAACCCCGUCUCUAUUAAAAAUACAAAAAAUUAGCCAGGUGUGGUGGUGGGUACCUGUAGUCCCAGCUACUCGGGAGGCUGAGGCAGGAGAAUGGCGUGAACCUGGGAGGCGGAGCUUGCAGUGAGCCAAGAUCACACCACUGCACUCCAGCCUGGAUGACAGAGCGAGACUCUGUCUCAAAAAAAAAAAAAAAAAAAAAAAAAAAAAGGAAAAUCAACUGUAGUCCUGUCCCUUCUCCCCAAAGACAGGCAUUUAAAAAAUGUAUUUCUUUUUAGUCUUUGUAUAUAUUUUAAAAAAGUAUCUACAAUUUUCUAUCCUGUUUUUUCCCUUAAUAUUAACAUACACAUGUCCUCAUAUUAUUAUAAUCUAUUUGUAACCAUGAAUUAUCCUCUUUUGUUAGAUAGUUGGAUCAUUUCCAAUAUCUUUCUGUUAUAAACAACACUCAGAACAUUUUUGUGCAUAAAGUACUUUUAAUAUUUUAAGUUAUUUUCUAUGGGUAUAUUCCGAGAAAAUGAAUUACUAGGUCCAAGAAUCAGAAUAUUUUUAAAGCUUUUAGUAUACAUUAUUGAAUUGCUUUCCAAAAGACUUUAAACAAUUCAUGUUAUUUUUAAUAUUCAAUGUCACUGUCUUCUGAGAGAGUAUUGUAGUAGAGGUUUUAAGGUAGAGAUAUCAUGGGAACAUGAUUAUGGUAUCUUGAAUUGGAGACCAGUGGGCUGUUGCUGGGGCAGGAGGAGUGGGUGCAGGGAGGGAGGAAUAGGGAUAAAAAAUGACGUGUAGGGUUUUGUAUAGGCAACUUAGUGCCAUUCAUUGGCAGUGGAAAUCCAUGAGUAGAAACAAUGUAUGUGGGAUGAUGGUGUGUUGCAAGUUCUCCUCCCAUGGCACCUGCUUUUGUAGUUGUAUCUUCUGCUCUUGUUUACCUGGUUAACUCUUAUUCAUCCCCAAAAACUCACCUUAAAUGAUGUCGUUUUUGAGAGGCCUUCCUGGUGCCUCCCCCUGGUAAAUCAACGUCCUGCUAGCAUAGCAAUUGCAGCGCAAGGUUGCUAUUUUUGACUCUUUUAUGUCUUUCUACUAGACUGUUCUAAAUUACUUGAGGAGAUGGACUAGUUGUUUUACUUCUGGGUCCCCACCACCAAGCACCGUACAGUAUUGGCAUUUACUAAAUGAUUGUUACUUCUUUCCAUUCCUUCCUUUGCUUCUCUCCAGGGUAGAAAUUUUGUGGGGAUAUAGCUCUGCUAUAAAACCUGGAGGUUAUUCCAAAUAAAUAUUUUCUAUCGCCUCACUUAGACUCAUUAAAUUUCUCUUAAUCUACUCAAAUUUUAGGGAAGAGGUUGUUUGCCAAUUGCUCGGGUGAGCUGUGGAAAUUCUUUAAAAAGAUGAAUGUCUUGAAGCUUGAAUAAAGCUUGAAUGUCUUCAAGCUUAAAUUAUUUCUUUUGUGAUUAUAUUUGUAAGUGCUUGUGAAACCUGGGAAUACACUUUUCUUGGAAGUGUUCCAUUUUGGCCUGUGAUCCUUUAAGGAGUGUUCUUGUUGGGCAAAUAUAAAUCAUUUUAGCUUUAUGGUAAGUAGUCUUUGUAAAAUAUGCUUUCAUGUUUAGCUCUUUGACAAAUGUAUAUAGUAACUCCAUUACCCUUUUGUUCCCCAUUACCUCAAAGGCCAGUUUGGAGUGACCGAGGUGUAAAUUGCCCACAGCACUGUUCUGCCUUUCUUUAGGACGGAGCCUUCAGUAUUCCAGUGCAGUUAAGUUCUGAGCCACCAUUCUAUAUAUAGGAUUACCUUGCUUGUACUAAUGAGCAAAAUAAUUUUUCCAAAUGCUGAUGGAUCUUUAAUUCUGCAAAAAUGUCACAGGAAGUAUUUUGCCUUCUUGGAAAAAGGUCCUGCCUUGAUAGAAUAACUGUCCACUUUAUGAUUCUCAGCAUAGGUCAAGUUCUGGUGGGUAUUUAAGUUCAUUAUCACACCACUCCAGAGCCAUAAUAAAGGCCUACUUUUAAUUUCUGCUCUAAUUACUGAGAAAUAAUUUACUUAAAUCAUUAUAGUUGGCAUUUGACAUGGAACACAGAUACUGGUUUUUGUUUUGCUUUGAUUUACACCCCCCACUUGGAGAAAGGAAUCUGAAGAAAUUAAAACUCAUUUUCCAUAUACCCCUUCUUCCUUGGUCCAGGAACAUUUGAGAUUAUCAUUAAUGUUGGGCCAUUUCUAACUCAGCCAGUGCAAUUGUUGAAUUUGUGGUUUUCAGCAGAUUUGCAAUUUGCCUUUUGAUUUGACUAAUGAUUGCUUUUUAAGCCUUUGUGGCAUAUUCGUUUUCCUAAUAUUUUAAAUAAAUAGUGAAAUGUCAUGGAAACCAGUGCUCAUUUCUUUCUUAUUCUCAGUGUGUGUCUGUUUUGGUUGUUUUUCUUCAAUGAUUAUUUCAGUUGGUGUUUAGGAGUGUGAAAUAUAUAUUACUUUUUGGUGCUUUUAAUGUACAUUUGGCCUAGGCUGUUAUAAUGAGCAGACUGACACAGAUAUCAAGAAAAUUUCCAAGGAGGAUUUAGCAAGAUUAUAGGGAAAGAACAGUUAUUUCAUUUAUUCAUUUGCUCCUUUAUACAUUUUUCCAGUGAGCUUUGUUGUGGUCCUACUGUGUGCCAAGCACUAAGUCACAGACCAGAUAUACUUUGGUCACUGCCAUAAAAAAACUGGUUGGAUAUUUGGCUGAGAGGGACAGAGAUUAAAUGAGUAAAGAUGCAAAUGAGUAUAUAAUUAUAAAAGGUACUGUGUAUCAGUAGUGACAUUCAUUAAUAUCACCAGUGAUCUCAUUAUAAAAGUCUUUAAGUAUUGGGAAGUUGCCAGCCUUCUGUAGCAGAUGCAAGUUUUCCAAAAUCUGGUUUCCUCUGGGAAGUUCUAUUUAAUAAAUACUGUAAAUUGUUUUUCUUGAGGUGACAGGCUCACUUCAUUCAUUGUCAAGAUGUCUGCCCAACAUGCACAUAAAACAUGCAUAGCCAGUUCAACACCAGCAAUUGCACACAUGCUUUUCCUUGUGAAAACCAUUGCACUUUGUCAUACAGCAGAAGUACUGCCUGCAUAUGCCCUUUUGGGUCGCUCUAUAUUGUUUCACCAGGGCAUUCUUCAGGGCAACUGGCAUUUUAAGAAUGUUUUAUUUUUAUUUUCGUACUGUAAGUGCGUGGUGGGGAAGGAUAUGAUGACCGCUAAUAGAAUUGGGUACCACUGCCUGGAUUCCUGCUAAGGCGCCAGUCAUUUUACCUACCACUGCCUUGGCACAUCAGUGAAAAUGCCAAUACAGCAAGAAGACAAAUAAUGUCUGAGUAUUAUUCUAAAAAUAGUUUGGCCUUAUGGGCCUCUGAGGGGAACACAGCUCACGCUUUGAAGAAUGAUGCUGUAGUCUUUUCUUCAACAAGCCUUUACGGAAAGUUUCCUGUGUACCAGUUCCUGGGAAAGAUGCUCUCCUUCACAAUCUUGAUGUGUACUCAGAUCUUUGUUAUCUAAUAGUAGCCAAAGUUAACAGCUAGCAUUUAAUGCAUUCUUACUAUGUGCCAAGAAUCAUGUGCCAAGGCCCUGUAGUAUUGGGAUCCCAGCAGGAGACUGGGUACCUGAAGAGUGUUUAAUAAAGAGACUUUUUACAAAGGCGUGGGCAGGAUUAAGGCAAACCAACAAGAAAUAAUAAAAGAUCAGGUUUAACAACCUCUAGACCAUAAAGGGGUAAGGGAGGCAGACGGUUCCCGGAGCUGGAGAGGACAGCCUCCUAGGAGCUGUGGCCUUCAGGAGAGGGAUGCAGCCAAUUGCUGAGGUGAACUGUAGAAAUUCUUUAAAAAGAUUACAUUCAAGCUGAAAUGAUUUCUUUUGAGAUUGUAUUUAUGCAUGGUGUGGCUGUGACUCCUUGGUGAGGAACUAGGGGAUUGAAUACCCUGGCCUCUCCCUCCUCCUACCUUCUAAUCCGUUCUGGUGUCUCCCACUGAUGAAACUUAACCAGAAGCCACAGGCCAAGGGAGUCUAUGGCGACAAUUAAUCUGGGUCCCACGGCCAGGCGAAAAGGGAGACAGAAAGGAUCUGGAGGGACAAAUGCAGGCUACUUAUUUGGCACAAAACUUUAUUUGCACCAUUUCAUUUAGUAUCUAACCCAAGGAAGCAAGUUAACUAACUUAAGGAAGCAAGUGCUAGUGCAAUCCCCAUCUUGCAGAUGAACAAACUGAGGCUGGAGAGGUAAAGCAAUAAUGACAGGGUCCAGGUUUGAAGGAGACUCAGACUCUUAGCCUCUAUUCCUCCCUGUCUGGCAAACAGGCCAGCAAGAAGCAGGCAGCAGGGGUUCCUUCAGUGUGCUGCUUCCACAGAAUAGUUGAACAAGUAAAGUUAUAUGCUGGGAACUUGUUGUUCCUUAUUUACAAGACUGCACACGGCCUUCCUGUUCCUCCCAAUUACUAUUCUUCUGGCCAAAGACUCCCUGGAUAGGGAAGGAACUCAGCCCAAAAUCCGCAAACAUGUUCAGAAAGCAGCCAGGGAAUCAUUGUUGGAUCCCACAAGGAGCCCUCUCACCAUCUGCCCUCUACCCCAGCUGACCCAGAGACUCCCUGCCAGAACACUGAGUGUAUUUUGAUGAGUUAAAUGAAAACAACAACCAUAACCAAAACAAAUCCAAACUGCAUGGGUCCUGGGGGAAAGAAAAAAAAAUCAGAAAAAUUGGACACUUCAUAAUUCCUUCCUUUGCACAUUCUUUUUCUUUUUAAAUGAGUACAUUUGAUGUAGAAUGCAGAGUUCCUAGAGGGUGUUCUAAAAACUUAAAAACUUAGAGUUCUAAAGUGGACCUGACCCUUUGUUAAAGCCUUCUUAAUGCCAUAGGAAGGUUUCCAUGAUUUAGAGUUUUUAUGAUAUUGAUACAUGCCAAAAACAAUUUAAUCACAUCACAAAUAUGACUGAGUAUGUCUACUCUUUCCUAAGGUGAAAUGCCACUUCUCUGAUUAUUGGCCUGCUGUUUGUAUGGACCUGUUCUAUGCAUACUUUGUAAUGGUUCACAUCCUAUAAUUACAGCACCAACAUUUCCUUCAGGGCAAUAUAAAAAACACACUCCAAGUUAAAAAUCAUUCCCAUCUCUAUCCAUUCUCUUUUGGAGGGAACAUAAAAGAACAUCAAGUUUUUUGUUUUUGUUUUGAGUUUUGUUUGAGCCUCACCAUGUUGCCUGCGCUGGAGUGCGGUGGCACGAUCAUAGCUCACUGAAGCCUCAAACUCCUGGGCUUAAGUAAUUCUCUCGCCUUAGCCUCCUGAGUAGCAAGGACUACAAGUGUGCACCACCACGCCCAGCUGGAACAUCCAAUUUUGAUACCAAUGUAUGAGCCAACCCACCUACGACCUCCACUAAACAGUAUGAGGCAAGCCAAUGAAGUCCCCACUCUCAGGGAGAGCUCACUGCCACACAGAAUGACCAGGGAGGGCUAUGCUGGGAAAAGUCUAUGGAGCUUUGGAGACCCAGAGAAGUGGGAUCACAGGGAAUCUGAGAAGGCUUCCUAGAGGAAGUAACAUCUAAGCUGAGGCCUGAAAAGUCAGGUAAGAGUGAGAUGGGAAAAUAAGAAGGUACAGGGGUGUUCUAGGCAGAGCAAACAACAGGUGCUUUGGAAGCCUUAGAAAGAACAGCAAGCAUGGCCUGUUCAGGGAAAGAUGGAGAACAAAGCUCAAGUGUAUUGAUGGUGAGAGAAGAGGCUCAGGAGAUGGGUAUAGCUGGGUCAUGGAAAGACCUUAGCCAUAUUAAGGAAUCAGAACUUUCUCCUGAGACCAGUGGGAGGCAUGCAGGCAUUUUAAGUGAAGAAGCAACGUGGGUAAAUUAAAAAAAUAUAUCACUUUGCUGCCGGGCGCAGUGGCUCACGCCUGUAAUCCCAGCACUUUGGGAGGCUAAGGCGGGUGGAUCACGAGGUCAGGAGAUUGAGACCAUCCUGGCUAACACGGUGAAACCCCGUCUCUACUAAAAAUUCAAAAAAUUAGCCGGGUGUGGUGGCGGGUGCCUGUAGUUCCAGCUACUCGGGAGGCUGAGGCAGGAGAAUGGCGUGAACCCGGGAAGCGGAGCUUGCAGUGAGCCGCGAUGGCGCCACUGCACUCCAGCCUGGGCGACAGAGCGAGACUCUGUCUCAAAAAAAAAAAAAAAAAAAAAAUUAGUUUGGAACAGGAUACAGAAAAAUCAAGAGGGAUUUUUCAACCUCUUCUUUAUAACUUUCUUUUUUUUUUUUUACAUGACUUUAAGAAAGUAAUAUGUAUCACUGUUGUGAUAAAAAUAAAAACCAGUAAAGCUAUUUUUGUUCUUUAUAUUUUAAAAACCCAUUCUGACAAAACACUUGAAUAGACAUCUAAUGAAGAAGAUAUACAGAUGGCAAGUAAGCAUGUGAAACAUCGUACAUCAUUAGGGAAAUGCAACUUAAAACAACGAGAUGCCACUAUACACCUAUUAGAAUGGCCAAAAUCUGGAACAUGGACAACACCAAAUGCUGGUGAGGAUGUGAAGCAACAGAACUCUCACUCAUUGCUGGUGGAAAUGCAAAAUGGUGCAGCUACUUUGGAAGACAGUUUGGCAGUUUCUUACAAAACCAGACCUACUCUUAACAUACGAUUCAAUAAUCACACUUCCUGGUGUUUACCCAAAGGAGUUGAAAACUUACAUCCACACAAAACCUGCACCCAGAUGUUUAUAGCAAUUUUAUUCAUAAUUACUCCAACUUGGAAGCAACCAAGAUGUCCAGAGACAGGGUUUCACCACGUCGCCCAGGCUGGUCGCGAACUCCAGAGCUUGAGCGAUCUGCCCACCUCAGCCUCCCAAAUUGCUGGGAUUACAGAUGUGAGCCAUGAUGCCCGACUGCCAUGCGUUUGUGUAAUACCAAGAGUGAGCCCUAAUAUCAACUAUGGACUGGUGAUGAUGCUGUGUCAAUGCAGGACAUAAUGCCAUGAGUAACCAAUAUACAGAAAAUUCACAGCCUGAACUGGCUUCGGGGAAGACCAAGGCGCAUUUGGAGGAGAAGGCCAGCCCUAAAGGCUGGAAGUGACCUUCCUGUUGAUAAAGGGCAGAGCACGAGCAAACUGAGAGAGGAGAUGCAAAGACAAAAAUUUCAUGCAAAGGAUGGGUGUGUUCAGAGGCUGAUGAGCUGCAGGUUGCAGAGAGGCCCUAUCAUGGCACUCUGUUAUUUGUGCUGUCUGCUCCCUUCUCUGGUGGUAGCAUACCUGCCACUCCUCAUCAUCCUGGUAUGGACGCAGUUUUUCUCUGCCCUGACCCCAGUCCAUUCUCCACCCUGCUGUGCCCCACUCUGUGCUCAAGGAGACUGACUCCUGCAGACUGAAUCCCCUGGUUCCCUGGCCGGCUGGCUUCUGAUUGGGCCCUGCAGGAUAUUGAGGCAAGCAUUUUAAUAGACAACAAGCUGGAUAAUGUCGAAACAAGACAAGGCUGCUUCUUUCACUUGUUUUUAAAUUGCAGAAAUGGAUGUCUUCAGACCUCGUGAACUGUGGGCAUAUCAAAGAUUGCCUUGGAAAUGGCAAAUAUAUAUACUGCUUCAUUUUACUAACCUGCAUAAAUCACUAAAACCAAUAGCUUAAAGCAUAGACACCUCCCAAAGAUCUUCCCAUCAGUUUGCAAGAGUGGGAACAACCAGAAUCUUACCUGGGGUUGAUGGAGCUGGAACUCCCAGACCAGGAGUUGGGGCAGGCUGCCUGCCCUAAGGAAUUUGGGGAAUCCUUGUUCAGAGUAGUGAAGCAUACCACUUGGGGUUGCUGAGUUGUUUUGUCCUCUAUUUUUUUCCUCUUCUUUUCUGCCCUAAUAAACAUUGGUAUUAAAUUUACUUUUAGUGGUCUCUUCCUUUCUCUCUCUCUCUCUCUCCCCCCUCUUUUUGUUUUUUUGAGAUGGACUCUCACUCUGUCACUCAGUCUGGAGUACAGUGGCAUGAUCUUGGCUCACUGCAACCUCCGCCUCCCAGGUUCAAGUGAUUCUCCUGCCUCAGCCUCCCGAGUAGCUGGGACUACAGGUGCACACCACCAUGCCCAGCUAACUUUUGUAUUUUUAGUAGAGACGGGGUUUCACCAUGUUGACCAGGCUGGUCUCAACCUCCUGACCUCAGGUGAUCCACCCGCCUUGGCCUCCCAAAGUGCUGGGAUUACAGGUGUGAGCCACUGCGCCUGGCCUCUUUCUUUCUCUGUAAGUAGUGAAACAGAGAUUUCCCUCUUUUGUUUAUCUUUGCAAAUCCAGCAUCAGAAAGCUUACUGUUCUUUGAAUGAAUGAAAAUACAAACACCCUGCAAUGUUGCACAAGGGUUAUGUAUAUAUUUAUAUACAUACAUAUAUAUAUAUAUAUAUAUGAGAUUAUUUGCCUAAGGCCAGUUCUGGAACUAGGGCCAUUGCUUAAUACCAGUUUUACACCCUGGUCUUUUAGCAAAGGCAACAUUUCUUGUGAAAAGUGGGUUGUAGUUCCUGUAUCCCGGAGGCCCUCACCUGCCCCACAGCCUUGGAAUCAGAUUGGACAAUUAGAGGCCAAGAAAAGCAGAAAUUUGGAGGGCAAGGGAAGGUGGGCCAAAUGGUUCUGGGGAUAGAAGAAUCUGGCAUCCUCAAAAAAAGGUAAGGAGGGAUGCCCACACACCCUGGGCUACAGAGGAGGGCUUGUCCCAAGGGAGGUUGGGUGGUGUAUUAGUUCAUUAUUGCAUUCCUAUAAAGAAAUAUCUAAGACUGGGUAAUUUAUACAGAAAAGAGGUUUAAUUGGCUCACAGUUCUGCAGGCUGUACAGGAAGCAUGAUGAUGGCACCUGCUUGGCUUCUGGGGAGGCCUCAGGAAACUUACAAUUAUGGUGAAAGGUGAAGUGGGAGCAGUCACAUGGCCAGAGCAAGAGCAAGAGAAGAAGCGGGAAGAUGCCACACACUUUUAAACAACCAGAUCUUGUGAGAACCCACUCACUAGUGUGAGAACAGUACCAAGGGGAUGGUACUACACCGUUAAUGAGAAACUGCCCCCAUGAUCUAAUUAGCUCCCACCAGGCCCCACUUCCAACAUUGGGGAUUAAAUUUCAACAUGCAAUUUGGGUAGGGACAUAGAUCCAAACUAUAUUAGGUGUGUUCAUCUAGGGAUAAAGGCACUGAAUCUCUCAAUAACAAUACCAACAUUUUGGGUCAAACUCCGUACAGAUGGUCCCUGAGUUCUAGUGGUGUGAAAGUGAUAUGCCCUCAGCCAAAACCAUACUUCAAGAACCCAUACAACCGUUCUGGUUCUCACUUUUAGUACAGCAUUCAAUAAAUUACAUGAGCUCUUCAACACUUAUUAUAAAAUAGGCUUUGUGUUAGAUGAUCUUGCCCAACUGUAGGCUAAUGUAAGGGUUCUGAGCACAUUUACAGGCUAAGCUGUGAUGUUUGGUAGGUUAGGUGUAUUAAAUGCACCUUCAAUUUCCAGUGGGUUUAUUAGGAUGUAACUGCUUUGUAAGUCUAGGAGCAUCUGUACUAUCCCCAACUUAUAAAUGAGGAAACUGAAGUUUACAGAAUUUAGGCAGUGUAUUAGUUUUCUAUUUUGACUGUAAUUACUUAGUGGGUUAAAACAACACAUUAAUUAUCUUAUGUUCUGUAUGUUAGAAGUUCAAAAGGAGUCUCCUGGGUUAAAUCAAUGUGUCAGCAGGGCUGCAUACUUCUCCUCUCUGGAGGCUCUUGGGGUGAAUCUAUUUCCUUGUCUUUUCCAGCUACCUGCCUUUCUUAGCUCAUGACUCCUUCCAUCUCAAAGCCACCAAUGGUGAGUUGAGCCUUACAUCAUAUCACUCUGCCUUUCUCUUCUGCCUCCAUCUUCCACUUUUAAGGGCCUUUAUGAUUACAUUGGGCCCUUUAGAUAACUCAGAAUAAUUUCUCUAUCUUAAGAUCAGUUGAUUAACAACUUUAAUUCCACCCACAAUGCUAAUACCCCCUUGCCAUAUAAGGUAACAUUUUCGCAAGUUCCAGGGAUUAGGACAUGGACAUCUUUGGGGAAGCCAUCAUUCUGCCUACCCUAGGCAGUUUGUUCAGGUUCUUACAGCUGGUGGGUAGAGGACCUGGGAUUUGAACCUGGGAAGCCCCUCACUACUAUGCCCACCCUCCCCCCAUCCACAAACACUCUGCACUUCUGCCCUAAACCUGAUAUUCUUAUGCCUUGAAUGAAGUAGUUUUCUAAACCGAGUUCCUUAAGGGAUGAGGAUGUGUCUUAUUAAGACUCAACUGCGCUCCUUACCUAGCUGGGAUGUCAUCUGAGCACAGGCACCUUCCAUGGGCUCUGAUAUUUAGUGCUAGGACUUGCCCAGGGUACCUGGAACAAGGGUGGACAGAAGGCUCCCUUGUCCACCUCCCCACCUGCCUCUCAGAGUGGUUUACAAGAAGUAGGAGCUGAAUCUGUGCAUGUGGGACAGACUGCACAGGAACGAGACUAGCAGGUCCCAAAAGAGAGAAGGAGGGAAGCAGAAUUAAAAAUAAAUCUGACCCACAGGGAGCCAGGUUCCUGCAUCCAGGUAGAGAAGGAAGGGCUUCCUCGAGGCUCUAAGGACCCUGGGUACGGCCCACAUAUCAGGGGCAAAAACUUCCUUUAAGAACAAAGAGGAUUCUUCAUCAGUCACAUACAUCCUGGUUCUCAGCCUCCUCCCCUUGACACACAAAAUGCAUGUGUUUACCCAGAACACACUCUCCUGAGGCCCACAGAUGAAGGGGCUGAAGCGCAGCAAUUCACAGUGAGCUUGCUGCAACUUCACACCCCAUUUGGCCACCACCAAAGUUUCUCAGAAGGCAGUGAUCAAGGCUGAUGGGAAGAGAAAACCUCUCACAGGGCAGAGCCAAGAACUCAGAGAAGAAAGGACUGAGUGUGGAACAGGGGCCCAGGCAAGGAAAAUUCUCAACUCCUGGAUUAGGAGGACCUGGCCAAAAAUUCCCAGCAGAACAUCAGAAUUGCUGCAGCCCAGUGAGUGCUGAGUGACUCUCAUUCCUUUUCUUUCCAAGUAGCAGUGUUUUUGUGAUUCUACACCUGUUCCACCGCACCUGGAUACAUACGGAAAACAACUUGUCUUUUUGAUUUUUUAGGUCCUUAUCAAAUCAAGAGACGCCUCAGUGAGAUCUGGCAUGGAACAUGGAUUUCCAGUUCAAUACCAGCAUUGGAUAAGAUUUUUGGAGUGUCCUAGGGAUGCAGUGAGUGUAUUUUGCGUGUGGGAAAGGAGUGAAUAUUUGUGACCAAAAGGGCAAACAGUGGCCAUUGUCUGUAGAUAUUCACUCCCUCCCCUUCAACCUAUCUCCAGGGGGCACGCGCACUUCCCUGCCCUUGACUUUGGGCCUUGCCAUUUUACUUGUUUUUGCAAAUGAGAUGUUAAUGGAGGUGACCUGAGCAGGAGUUGAAAUGUGGUUGUGCUGUAGGGCUUGCUGUCUUGCACUUCUGCCAUUGCCACGAGAAAAACACGACACAAGCCCAGUAGGAUGAGAGGUAUUUGGAACAAAGCUGCCCCAGGUGACCUGUAGACCUGUGGCCGGAAGCCAAGCCACCCCAUGUGACCCUCAGGCACAUGAGCGAGAAAUACCUCCUGCUGUCGGCACUGUGAUGUUUGUGGUUGUUUGUUACACAGUAGUGGCUGACUGAGACAACCUACAAUAGCAACCAGGAGCCCCAUGGCUUCCUUAAAGACAGGACUUACAAAAGUAAAUGGCAAACAAUUUGGGAGUGGGCUGAUACCAACAGAAAGGAGAAAUGAUCAUAGACUUUGGGAUGAACUGACAAAGUUCUCAUGACUGCCUGGAAAACUCAGCGUACCUAGUGGGUCCUGGAAAAGGUGGGAGGCUAUACAUACAGAAGCAAGUGUAUCUCAAAGUCUCCCGUGCCAGUCAAAGAAAAAGAAUAAAGAGUCGGUUGAGGUUGUGGGUGAGGUGAAUGGGUUUAUAGACUGAGGUUGCCCAGGAAUUCGCAGUGUACAUAUACAGUGUACAUACUUACUGUUUGAUAUAUUUAUUAUACAGUAAUUUUCUGAUAAUUAAACUUCUUAAUAUAACUUUGUGGUAAGAGUGCUUUUCCCACAUUCCAGAGAUUACCAGGAGUCUGACUUUUAAAAAAUCUUGUUGUAUUGUAUGUAUUUUUAGAAAGAGGUAGAGUAAAAAUAAAUAGAUUAACUAGGACUGCUGGAAAAGGGGGUUGGGUGGGAAAGAAAAAUGCCAUUCAGAAAUAGACCAUGAAACUAAUUACCUGGAUAAACCAAUGUAAAAAAAAUUUAUUGUUUCAGACAGGGUCAUAAACUCAAAUACCUUAGGGGACUGGCAGGUGACACAAACAAGUGAGGUAGGCAUGGUGGGGAGUGUGGUGAUGUGGGAGUGUGCGCCCUGUCCCAGAAGGGCAGCUAUGACUGGGCUCCCUCUAAUUGUUGCUAUGUGGGAGUGGCAUCUAGCGUUGCCAGCUCUUCUGAGGAAGCAGGGCUGCCAUGUUUGCUUCUGCAGGUUGUACACUGCACAAAAGUGCUCAGCUGAUUGGGUAGCUGGAGCCUAAAAUUCAGUACAAGCUCCAUGUACCAAGCCCUGGGCCAGGACACAGGACUCGAAGAGCAGAGGUAGGCUGGGUUUCAGCCCCUAUGCAUCCUCUUUAGCCUACCUUUGUGUAAUACACAGUCACACAGGGUGGCCUGGGAUGGAGGAUCUUGCUUCCCAUUGUGGAAGGUGAAUAAGAACUACCUCUUUAUCUUUGCUCCUGACAGCUCGGACACAGGUGCCCUUUCUAGGCUCAGCCAAUAGACACUCCUUUCUAAGGCCUGGAACCUUGUGUGAGUGACAAAAGCACAGAGGUGGAGAGAUUACAUGGGGUGGCAUCCACUGUGUUUAGGUAUGUCUGAAUGGUGACACAUAGAGCACUUCUGAGAACACUGAACUACUAUUGAACAAAACUCUCAGGCAUGCUGAUUGACCUAGUGGGUCUCCAGCUAGCCAUCUCUGGAUUAAGACAUUCCAGGUCCAGGAAGGUGUAUGAGGGUACUCACUUGUUCCCAGUAACCUUUGCACAUGCAUAAGUUUCUCUCUCCUUCCUUCCUUCCUUCCUUCUUCCUUCCUUCCUCCCCUCCCUCCCUCCCUCCUCCUUUUCUCUCUGUUUCUCUUUCUCUCUUUUCUCUUUUCUUUUCUUUCUUUCUUUCUUUCCUUCCUUCCUUCCUUCCCUUCUCUUCUCUUCUCCUUGUCCUUCUUCUUCGACAGGGUCUUUCUCUGUCACCCAGGCUGGAGUGCAGUGUCACUAUUGAAGCUCAUUGCAACCUCAACCUCCCAGACCCAAAUGACUCUCCCACCUCAGCCUCCCAAUUAGCUGGGACCACAGGUGUGCCCCACCACGCCUGACUAGUUUUUUAUAUUUUUUGUAAAGAUGGAGUCUCCUAUUUGCCCAGGCAGGUCUCAUGCUCCUAAGCUCAAGUGAUCCUCCUGCUUUGGCCUCCCAAAGUGCUGGGAUUACAGGAACGAGCCACCACGCUUGACCCUGAGAUGUCCUUUCUUGGCAUCACAGUGCAGGGCAGUGACAAGCUCCCUGUCUCAGAAGGUUUGGAUUUGGUUCCAGUUCUACUAGAGCUUGGUCUCAGAGCUUCCCAGCUCUGUGAUUUUGAUCAUGUUUGCAUCAUGCUGACUCUUAAUUUCCUUGUCUAUAAAAUGGAAAUUUGGAUGCUGGUACUCCUUGCCUCUCAGGGAUAUUGGAAGACUCAAAUCCAAUAAGAUAAUGCAUGAGAAAGCAUGUUGCAAGCCUAACAAACUAUGUAAACGUAAGGUAUUAUUAUACUGCUGCAGAGACAUGAGAAUUCAUGUUGCUGAUGCUUGAACCAGAGAUGGUGGGAAUCUAGCAUGGAGCAGGCCCAUCUAAUUAUUUUCAAAAUGCUGAAAAAGGCUUUUCCAAUUCUUUGCCUUCCCUGGUUACCCAUCCUGUCUGCUGCUGUAAAUUUUCACUUUCCCCUAACAAUAAACAUUUAUAUUGUGCCUUACCAUUAUUUUAUUUGACCCUCACAACAUUCCUAUGGGGUAAGGGUUAUUCCCCUUUGCUGAUGAGGAAACUGAGGCUCAGGGAAUUCUGGGAGAUACAAUUCAAGUUGAGAUUUGGGUAAGAACACAGCCAAACCAUAUCAUUCUGCCCCUGCACCCUCCAAAUCUCAUGUCCUUACUUUUUUUUUUUUUUUUGAGACAGAGUCUCACUCUGUCGCCUAGCCUGGAGUGCAGUGGCACGAUCUCGGCUCACUGCAAGCUCCACCUCCCGGCUUCACGCUACUCUCCUGCCUCAGCCUCCCAAGUAGCUGGAACUACAGGCGCCCGCCACUAUGCCUGGCUAAUUUUUUGUAUUUUUAGUAGAGACGGGGUUUCACCGUGUUAGCCAGGAUGAUCUCGAUCUCCUGACCUCAUGAUCCGCCCGCCUCGGCCUCCCAAAGUGCUGGGAUUACAGGCGUGAGCCACUGCACCUGGCCCAUGUCCACACAUUUUAAAACCUAUCAUGCCUUCACAACAGUCCCCCAAAGUCUUAACUCAUUUCAGCAUUAACCCAAAAGUCCACAGUCCAAAGUCUCAUCUGAGACAAGGCAAGUCCCUUCUGCCUAUGAGCUGUAAAAUCAAAAGCAAGCUAGUUACUUCCUAGAUAAAAUGGGGGUAUAGGAAUUGAAUAAAUACAGCUGUUCCAAAUGGGAGAAAUUGGCCAAAACAAAGGGGUUACAUACAGGGCCCAUGCAAGUCUGAAAUCCAGUGGGGCAGUCAAGUUUUAAAGCUUCAAAAUGAUCUCCUUUGACUCCAGGUCUCACAUCCAGGUCACGCUGAUGCAAAAGGUAGGUUCCCAUGGUCUUGGGCAGCUCCGCUCCUGUGGCUUUGCAGGUUACAGCCUCCAUCCCAGCUGCUCUCACAGGCUGGUGUUGAGUGUCUGCGGCUUUUCCAGGCACAUGGUGCAAGCUGUCAGUGGAUUUACCAUUCUGGGGUCUGGAGGACGGUGGCCCUCUUCUCACAGCUCCACUAGGCAGUGCCACAGUAGAAACUUUCUGUGGGGGUUCUGACUCCACAUUUCCCUUCUGCACUGCCCUAGCAAGGUUCUCCGUGAGGGCCCUGCCCCUGCAGCAAACUUUUGCCUGGGUAUCCGGGCGUUUCCAUACAUCUUCUGAAAUCUAGGUGGAGAUUCUCAAACCUCAAUUCUUGACUUCUGUGCACCUGCAGGCUCAUCACCACAUGGCAGCUGCCAAGGCUUGGGGCUUCCACCCUCUGAAGCCACAGCCUGAGCUGAAGGUUGGCCCCUUUCAGCCAUGGCUAGACAGCUAGGAUACAGGGCACCAAGUCCCUAGGCUGCACACAGCACGGGAACCUUGGGCCUGGCCCACAAAACCAUGUUUUCCUCCUAGGCCUCUGGGCCUGUGAUGGGAGGGGGCUGCUGUGAAGGUCUCUGACAGGGCCUGGAGACAUUUUCCCUGUGGUCUUGGGGAUUAACAUUAGGCUCCUUGCUACUUAUACAAAUUUCUGCAGGUGGCUUGAAUUUCUCCCCAGAAAAUGGUUUUUUCUUUUCUAUAACAUAGUCAGGCUGCAAAUUUUCCAAACUUUUACACUCUGCUUGCAUUAUAAAAUGGAAUGCCUUUAAUAAUACCCAAGUCACCUCUUGAAUGCUUUGCUGUUUAGAAAUUUCUUCUGCCAGAUACCCUAAAUCAUCUUUCUCAAGUUCAAAUUCCCACAAAUCUCCAGGGUAGGGGCAAAAUGCCACCAGUCUCUUUGCUAAAACAUAACAAGAGUCACCUUUAUUCCAGUUCCCAAUAAGUUCCUCAUCUCCAUCUGAGACUACCUCAGCCUAAACCUUAUUGUCCAUUUCACUAUCAGGCUUUUGGUCAAAGCCAUUCAACAAGUCUCUAGGAAGUUCCAAACUUUCCCAUGUUUUCCUGUCUUCUUCUGAGCCCUCCAAACUGUUCCAACCUCUGCCUGUUACCCAGUUCCAAAGUUGCUGCCACAUUUCCGGGUAUCUUUUCAGCAAUGCCCCACUCUAUAGGUACCAAUUUACUGUAUUAGUCAGUUUUCACGCUGCUGAUAAAGACAUACCUGAGACUGGGAGGAAAAAGAGGUUUAAUUGGACUUAUAGUUCCACAUGGCUAGGGAGGCCUUAGAAUCAUGGCGGGGGGUGAAAGGCACUUCUUACAUGGCAGCAGCAAAAGAAAAUGAGGAAGAAGCAAAAGUGGAAAUCCCUGAUAAACCCAUCAGAUCUCAUGAGACUUAUUCACUAUCACAAAAAUAGCACGGGAAGAAGACUGGCCCCUAUGAUUCAAUUACCCACCUCCCCCCGGGUCCCUCCCACAAUAUGUGGGAAUUCUGGGAGAUAUAAUUCAAGUUGAGAUUUGGGUGGGGACACAGCCAAACCAUAUCAACUUAUAUUUGCAAAUAUAAUAGUGAUAUAAUUAUUUGGGGCAAAUAAAGGAGGUGAGAGUGAUGUAAAACAGUGAAAUUUGCUUCCUGAUGUCAUAAGAAAGAAUUAAUACCCACUAUAUAAAAUUAACAAAUCAAGAAACAGGUAAAUAAAAAUACUCAGAGAUUUGAAAUCAGCUACCAGAAGAAACAAAUAAAAGAGAUAAAAAGUAGUUAUCUUUGGAGUAUGGAACUAAGGGUGGCAAGGGAUGAAACACUUCUAUAUUUAUCUUAUUUUUUAACUGUGUGCAUUCUUAAUUUUACUUAAAACAAAAGGCAAAAGGCAUAGGUUUUAGUUAAGCAAUUCAUAUGCUAUUCUAGUGGAUUUGAAAUCCCUCUUUGACACUUGCUAACCGUGUAGGUGCCUGGCCCAGAUGUGGGGGGUAGGAAAUGUUAAUUUCCUUUCCCACCUUCUGAGGGUUCGUUCCUGUAAUCACCAGAAAUGUACACUUCCUGGGCUAUUUCAUUCAGCCCCCAACCUUGUCCACUGAACAAGACAACUGAGUCGCUACACCAAAUUCUAGGAUCCACUUUGUCACACCAGGCCUCCUUACACAUAUGACUCCACCUCCAGAUACAUAAUAGCACUCAGUGAACAUUUGGUGAAACUGAAUAAAAAUGCCUGUAGAGACCUAAUGCCUCAUGCGGAGACCAAAUGCCUAGAGAUACCCAAUGCACACUGUCUGUGAACUUCUCUUUUGAUGCUGCAUAGAAACAGCACCAUGCUUAUUCCUUCAGCAUGUGUCUGUGCAGCUUCUACUAUGUCCGUGGUAAGCAAGUGAGUCAUGGCCUCAGCCUUCAUGGAGACAGACAUUCAGUAAGUCGGUAUGUAAUUACACACUGCAAUAGGUGCUAUGAAAGAAAAGAACUGGACUCUUAAGAAUAAAUAACUUUAUUGGAAGGUCAAGGGGGCCUUUUCAGAGGAAGUGACAUUAUGAGCUCAGGACAUAUGAAUCUCAGAGUUCAAGAUUUAAAAAAAGGAGUGUGGCUGGGCGCGGUGGCUCACGCCUGUAAUCCUAGCACUUUGGGAGGCUGAGGCGGGCAGAUCAUGAGGUCAAGAGAUGGAAACCAUCCUGGCCAACAUGGUGAAACCCCGUCUCUACUAAAAAUACAAAAAAAUUAGCUGGGCGUAGUGGCGCAUGCCUGUAGUCCCAGCUACUCGGGAGGCUGAGGCAGGAGAAUCACUUGAACCCGGGAGGGUGGAUGUUGCGGUGAGCUGAGAUUGCACCACUGCAUUCCAGCCUGGCGACAGAGCAAGACUCUGUCUCAAAAAAAAAAAAAAAAAAAAAAAGGAGUGUUCUAGGCAGAGAGAGCUGCAUGUGCAAAGGUCCCGAGGUGGACAAGCUGAAUGUGCAAGAGUGCUGCUUCUCACACUUCACUGUGCACCUGGGGGUCUUAUUAAAAGGCAGACUCUGUCUCAGUAGUUCUGGAGUGGGGCAGAACUCCUGAAUUUCCAACCCACUCCUAGGUGAUGCCGGUAGCAUCAUGUUUGAGGAACUGAGAGAUUUAUGGACAGCAUAGUGAGCAAGGGUGAGAGCAAGGAGAUGGGACUGGAGGAGGCAGAGACCAAAUCAUGCAGGAGCUUGGGGGCCACCUCCUAAAUGUCAGCAGGAGAGUCACACAGUCUGAUGUGGCAAUUGACAAAAUGCCUCUUAAAUUUUUAAAGUGCUCUGUAACGUUGCUGACAAUGGUGGUGGUUGAAUUAGACCCACUCUUGGGAGUUUACAAUCUUGGGCUUGUUCCUUGUUGCUGGAGAACCCUAAAGAGCCAAGGGGUUGCUAGAAGUAUUUAUACUAGAGGCUGGCAAAUCACACAGCCAGGAAGUCCACCCUGCCUCUCUCCUCUCCCCUUUCAUGCCCCACUGGACCUGUUGUUGUGUUCACAAAGGAGGCAGUGGGGCAUGUUGGAAAGACUCACGGUGAAACCUCAGCCCGCUACUUGCCUCCUAUGUAUCUUCCUAAGCUUGAGCACGCUCUUAAUGUGCCUGAGCCUCAGUUUCCAUAUCUGUAAAAUGGGGACGCACAAACCUCUCUGGCAGGGAUGUUGGGAUGAUUGGAGAUAAUGUAGGAAAAGCAUGGCCAUUCAGUAACUAUUAAGAUGGGUUAUUCCUGAUUUCUAUUCCCAAGUGCUGAAUUUAGGAAAAGCUCACAACACCUUCUGCACAAAGUUUAAUGAGUUGAGGCUGUCAGGACCCUUUUUUUUUUUUUUUUUUUUUUUAACAUUGAAAUGCCAUCCCCCAGCAAAGUUCAGGUGAAAAGGAUUCCCUGGUCUUAAGUAAACCAGUAGUAUCUUGGGUUAGACUGGCAAAAUACAGGCCAAAAGAAAAAAAAACUGUAAAUUUUUUCUUUCUGAAAAAGCAAAUUCUUCACAGAAAAAAAAAAAAACCAGCUGAGCUCCACUGCUUGGGUCUCUGCUGACCUCUCCCUCUGCUGUCUGUCUGUCUGUCCAUUGGCCUCUGUCAUUUCUACUCAACAACAGGAUGCCUUCCUUCUCCCUCCCCCUCCUCUCUGCUGCAAACAACCCCGGAGCCACUCUGUCUGCCCUGUGCUCUGUUUAAAGGAACAGACACCCAUUUCUCACAGAAGAACUGUUAGGUAAACAAUAACAUAUUUUUUUAAACCCAGAAAGUGGCUCAACACACUCAGCAUGGACUGACUGUCUCUAGCAUUCCCCGGCUAGCUUCAGGACAAAGGUCUCCAGAGGAAAGAUGCUUCUUUUCUUUUCUUUAAAAGAGUAAAAGAGGACAACAGGAAACCCAGGCAAGAAAGGCCCUCAGACUUGAGGCCAGCAGACAGGAGCCUGGCCUCGGCCUAAAGAGCCCUGGGAAGCUGCUCUUGGCAGGAGAGGAUGGCUUUUGCUCCCUGAGGCCCUGUCCCUGAAUGCACCUCCCAGUACUGUGUGAAGUCUCCCCCAAGCCCUGACUUCACUGCACCCUCCUAACGACACCAGGAGUUAUACCUUAUUACCUCUGUUUCACCGAUGGGGAAACUGAGGACCAGAAGGAUGAAGAAAGUUGCCCAAGGUCACAUAGAAUAAAGUUCACCUCAGGACUUACACCCAAGUCUAGCUGACUCCAAAGCUCAUUUUGGAACCACCCACAACAUGGACUUCCUGGAUCCCAGACUUUUGGAUGACUUGACUUCACCCUGUAGCCUUUCAAGAGAGAAAAGGCUCUACUUUCUAGAUCUGUAGGAUGGGACCUGGGGAAGUGAGCAGCUUUGGGUUACUGGUGGGCCAGGAAUAGGGCUGGGGUUCCCAGGGUCCUGACUCAAAACCCAAGGCUGGCCAUUUCAAUAAGAGAAAAAACCAGACCGGGCAUGGUGGCUCACACCUGUAAUCCCAGCACUUUGGGAGGCCGAGGCGGGUGGAUCACUUGAGGUCAGGAGUUCGAGACCAGUCUGGGCAACAUAGUGAAAACCCGUCUCUACUAAAAAUACAAAAAUUAGCCAGGCGUGGUGGCAAGUGCCUGUAAUCCCAGCUACUUGGGAGGCUGAGGCGGGAGAAUUGCUUGAACCCAGGAGGCAGAGGUUGCAGUGAGCCGAGAUUGUGCCACUGCACUCCAGCCUGGGCGACAGAGCCAGAGUCCGUCUCAAAAACAAAAAACAAAAAAACCUUAAAAAAUCAAUAAAAGAAAAAUCCAAAGAACAGGCUGCGGUCAGCCCCUCCGUUUCCUUGCUUGGAUGUGCUUCUCUGAAGAAGCAGAAGUCUUCCCUCCUGCUACCCUGUGUUUUUCUGAGCUGCGUCCACAGCUGCCAUCAACAGAGGCCAAUGGCUGCACACCCAUGUUCCCAUCUGUCCGUAACAACAGAAUAAUUCCCAGAAAAAUAAAAAUACAGAAUAUGUUCUCAAACCAAGAAGGAAGAAAAUGUUUUUGGUUUCUUUGAAACACUGCACCUAUCUGCUGAUGGGGAUAAGUCGACUGGGAGAGACAAUGUGGGGUGCAGAGCAGAAUGCCACUGGCUUUGGGCCAAGGCAAACCUGGGUUCAAGAGCAGCUUGCUAGUGCGGGUCUGGGGAAAAUCCCUUGUGUAUUCUGAUGCUCAUUUCUUCAUCUGUCACACCUGCACCCACAGGUUAUGGAAGGUCUUCUCUGUGCCAGGCCUUCUCCAACUAUCCUCACAGCAGCGUGCAGGAUGGCAGCAGGCUUAUUUUUGCAGGGAGGAAACUGAGGCUAGAGAAGUUUACUAGCUGGCCUAAGAUUGGCCUGGCUCCAAAGUGAAUGCCCUUAACUACUAAGCUGAAUCGGGUAUGAGCAUAGAAUGUGCAGGGGACAGCAUAGGCGCUCAGUCAAUGCUGAUUGAUUUCCUUGAUUCCUUGACAAAUCAAAUGGAAUCAAUAAAUCAAUUCUGAGCAAAGGGUUCUAAGUAAGGCUUUGGUGAGGAUAAAGGAGCACUUGGUGUCUCAGCUCCCUUUGUCCCUAGCACCCUAAUAAACUCUGUAAAGUGAGACCAGAGAUGAGAUUUGAUCAUUAGAAUGGAGCUGAAUGUUGUCAUCUUUAUUUUUCCUCCCUAAGAAGACAAGGUAUUGCCAGUGGAGGGUCUUGACUAUGAGUCAUCCAGGUUCUUGGUGCAUUGAACAAGGAAUUGGACAAAAUGCACAAACAAAGCAACAAAAGAAUGAAGCAACAAAAGCACAGAUUUAUUGAUGUGAAAAUAUACUCCACAGAGUGGGAGUGGGCUCAAGCGAGCAGCUCAGGAGCACGGGUUGCAAAAUCUUUAAGUACCUUUUAGAGAUUUCUUAUUGGUUUCACCCUAUUGGAGGCUGAAGUAAAGUUACACCCUAUGCAAAUGAAGACUUGGCCCAUGAAAAAUCAGCCCUAUGCAAAUGAAGAAUUGGCCCACGACCAAUCAGAGGCUGAAGUGAAGGCUUCCUGUCUCCAGACCCUAUUCUCCUGCCUCAAAGGGAUACCCAAGUUAAUUCCCUAGAAUGGAGGAAGAGGGAACAGAAGAACAGAGCUGUAGGGAAGAGGCAGUUUUCAUGCCAAACAAUGCAAUUGACAAUGAUGACAACAGGAACCAGAAUGCACUGAGUGCUUACUAUAGGCAGGCACUGUGUCAAGUGUUUCAUUUAAUGGACAUGCUUUGAGAGGGUGUGAUGGCUGUUCCCCUUCCAGAUCCAUGCUUUGCCCUUCCUUCUAUGCAGGGGAGUCUGGACCCUUAUAGACCACAUUAACUGGGCUAGCUUGCCCUCUGGCUUCCUUUUGGGCUUGUCCAAGGGAAGAUACUAUUAGGAAAUCAGAGGGCGAGAAGAGAGGUUGGGGUAUUUCCUUUCUGCCCCAUCUAUGCCACAGCUCUGUGUCUCUCACAGUGACAGCUCUUAGCGGUGGGUCCCUCCCUGUCACCAGCAAGAGCUGGUGGCCUCUCAGCCCUGAGGGAGGUAACAGCUUUACAUUAUCUAGUCCUUGGGUGUCUCAGCAUCCCACAUUGGGUCCCUUAGCCCUGCUCCCACCUCCAUAAACAGUUCCUUCAUGAAGUUCUCUUCAAACCCACCCUACCCUGCAUCUUCUGUUUCCUACAACCCACCAAAUCCUUCUUUCUCUGUUUUGCAGAGGAGGAGGCUGAGGCUCAGGGUAACAGAUCUUGCCAGGGCUGCAGUGCUUGUAGGAGACAUAGUGGUCUUUCCAAUUUCACUAUCUCAUACAAGCUGGCAGGCUGGAUGGGCUUCCCCUGGUCCUACAGGGGAGUAUACAUUGGGCAUAUGGAAUAUACAUGGCUUCCGAAACAAACUCAUGGGUGCCUGACAUCAGGGCUGCAGGGAGGCCAGAGGCAGGUGAAAGUAGGUAUGUGGGGUGCAGGGUGGGGGUGUUGGGGAGCAUGUGGGGUAGGGGCUUAGACCAGCUGGCCAUGUCUUCUCACCGUGACUUGUUCUGAGAACAGAUCGCAUCACUCUGCCUGGCUGAUGGAUUCUGCAUGAAUGUGCCCUGCAUCUAUUUAUUUCCUUCCUGUACAAAGCAGCAGGACGUCUGGGAGCAGUGAAAGUAAACAAACACCAAAUUCUGCUGCCCAAAGCUAUUACAGGUGUUGCUCAUGCUAUUAAAUAUUUUAAAUGCUUUUUCACACUUACGAAGAGUUUCCCUCUUGCUCCUCUGUCCGCACCCUCUUCCUCCUCCUUGUGGCCAAGCUGGGAGACAGCUGGGCAUUAUCCCCUCAACCCACUUUCCAGUUUGGGGCACUGAGGUGCUGACAGAGGUAGAGCUGGCCUGGAGGGCAGGAGGUGACACGGGGUGGGGGUGUGUUGCUCCUCUGGGGGAUUAGCUCCAAUAGGAGCCAGUGACAUCUGCUCCAAGAACCACCAGCAGAGAUGAGCAGUGAGUCUGGCAAGGAAAACCUAAAGCUUUGGCAGGAACAAAAAGGCAGGAAAGAGGGAAGAGUGGGAGCAGCAGCAUUUUUUGGAACAAAUGUAAUAAUACUGUAUGCAGUCACCUUGCUGUCUCUGCUUGACUACCUCAUAUCAUUAUACCAAUUGUCCAGAUGAGAAAACAGAGGCUUGGAGGGAAACCAACAUAUAGUAGGUACUCAAUAAAUACAUGUUGAUGGACCAGAUUAAGUAACUUUACCCAGAUCAUCAGUAGCAAAGCUGAAGCUGAAACCCCAAAGCCCUGUGCCUGCCCCAGCAAUGCUGUCUGUGCCAGAAAGAAAGAAAGAAAGAAAAAAAGAGAAAGGAUGAAAGACUGAGAAAAGUAAGAGAAAGCCAAGAGCUGAGACAGCUCUAGGGGAGGUGCUAUAACAUUGCAGUUAAGAUCGUGGGCUCAGGGGACAGGCUUCCCUCUCCAAGAUCAGCUGUUUGAUCUUGGGCAAGUUGCUUAACUUUUCUGUGCUUCUUCAUGUGUAAGUGGGGAUGAGAAAGGUGCCUGUGCUGGUCCUGGGCCUAUUUGCUUUGAUAUCCAUUCUAUGCCUUUUCCUUGCUCUGCAUCAAAGUGGCGGCGGGGGGUUGGGGAGGCUGACCCUUGCAGGCUGUGUUUGCAGGCUCCUGUGACAUCUGGUCUCCAGCAGAGUUUUACCAGUAGGAGGCAUUGGCAGGAGGUUGGGGGGUAGAGUAAGAGAGGAGCCAGAGGGUUUCUUCUUUCUCUCUCUCUCUGCCUUGGGCCUACUUUCUAGAAGCAGUUACUUCUCCUUCAGGACUCUGACUUCUGCUGGACAGGGAUGCUGUGAUUCCAGCUUCCGGGUGACCCCAGAGCCAAAUGCCCAGCUGUGCCUAGAGGGGAGGGGUGGUGGUUUCUUCCUAUUGCUCAUCUCUGGGCCCUGUCACUAUCCUUAUUUGGCUUCUUUGCUCUUCUGUCACCAAGAAAGCCAAUUUCCUGCAUGAAGUUCCCUCUAUUUUAAGGACUCAGAGUGGUUUCUAUUUCCUAGUUGGUGCCUCAUGGGGGUUUAUGUGAGAAAUAAGUUAAUCAAGUCCUGGGCACUCAACACAUGGUGGCCUCUAUUCUUGUCAUUACUUAGACCCCAGUUUGUCCAGCCUAGCUGGCAAGUUCCUGAAUCUUCUGCUCCUCUGUGGACUUUUCCAUGGGAGGCAGAAUACUGCACAUCCAUCAUAGUUACGAGAGUGAUGGCAGCUGCCAUUUGUUCCUCCCUGCCGAAGCACCCGUGCCAGCAAAUCACUACAGUGGUGGCACCUCAAAUGAACCCUGCAAGUCAGCGAGUGUUAUCCCCAUUUUACAGAUAGGGAAGCAGGCUCAGAGCCCUUGUGUGGCUUGCUUGAGAUCAGACAGUGGGGAGAUUAAACCCAGGUCUGUGAGAUACUAGAGCAGAUGUCCUCACCACCAGUCCUCAUGGCUGCCAGGUCAUGGUGGAGCCACUGUGGUCACAUUGCCAUAGUCAGUAGGUAGGGUCUUGUCCCUGGACCUUCUCUGAGGUUCCCUUUUGAUGCUGUUGCCACUGGCAAUGGUGUGUGUGUGUGUUGUGUUUGCACCUUCCCUGAGUCCUGCUGGAAUGGGUGUAACCUUUGCCAUCCAUCCAAGAAGACGGUAGAGGCAGAGGCUGAUCUGCAUCAGAGUUGUGAGUGAACAGUGUGGUCACUGGGGAGCAAAUGUAAAGGCUGCGUAGGCUCAGGAGCCAUGAUUGUGUAUGUGCGUGGACUUGACAGGCCAGGGCCUGUGAUGAGGAGCAGGGGUCCCUGUGAUGAGGAGCAGGAAGAAUUAAAUGAUGCUCAGGGAAAAGCAGAGAUGGGAGACCAUUCAAGUGGAGAGUGUGGGAGAGAGCAAGAGAGAAGAGAGGUGUCUAUGCUUUCUGCAAUUGAAUUCUGAGAGAUUCCCUUGAAUGCUUAAAAUGAGUUUCUGUUUUGCUUGACAGGAAGGAGAGUUAGGUGGGGAAGUGUAAAUGACAAACUCAAACCCCCAUCAACAGGAACGAGUUCAAUAAAUGAUGGUAAGUCUAUGAAACAGGAUGCUAGUAGCCAUCAAUAAUGAUAUAGCUCCACAUUUGUUGACAUGGAAAGACACCCACAGCCUAUUGUGUAGUGAGAAAGGCAGGUUACAGGAUGACCCACCGACUGGGGACCCAUCUGUGCAGCACUCGGCACAUGGACCUAUCUAUGAAUAGACAGAAGCCUGAGAGCAAGUCGUGCAGCAUCAUGCAAAACCUUGUUUUCUCUGCAGAAGAAAUUCCGACUUUGGUUUUUAAAUGUUCCCGCAAUGUUUGACUCUUUUGUAAAUAAGUGAUGAGCAUAUUCCCUUAUAUUAACAGAAAGAAAAAGCCCUAAAAUAUUUUCACAUUUAAAAUCUGUAAGUGGCAAAUAAGGAAGAAGUCGCAGACCGGUUCUGGCUUUCAGGUCUCUCAGACAGGAAGGUAAGGGGGGAAAUAAGUUGCUACUAAGGGCAAGGACAAAGGUCUAGGACUUUCUCUUUUUUCCAGAAAGAAGAGACAUGACUGAGCAUAUGUGCUGACAGAAAGGUGCCUACGGUUGGGGGAAAGGACACAGAUAGAGUAGAGGGGGUGGUGCUUCUUGGUUGGACAAGGAUUAGGGAGAAAGGGGUGGGGUGGAAUCUUGGGCACAGGAGGUAGGAUUAGCCCUUGACAGGUGGAGGAGCAUCCCUUUCAUGCAGCAGGAGGGAAGGCAGGAAGGACGGUGCACAUGUGCACAGCUGUAGGUGGGGUGGCAGGAAGAUGAGGGCGUCCUUUCCUGAUUGCCUCUAUUUUCUCUUCAAAGUAGGAGGCGAGGUCAUCCCAUGAGAGUGAGAUGGUCAGCUUCCCAGGCUGGGGGCCUGAAGUUCCUGGGAGAAGGUUUGGAAGGCACGGUGUGGGGCUGGGGGUGGGGGUAGAGGAAGGGCUGGUGGGGACAGUUGGGAGGAUGGUCAGUCUCUGUUGGGGGCCAGCUGCUGUUGGAGGCCAUCCAUUUGUGUUGGCAUGUGUCCACACAGUUGACUGGUCUCUCUCUAGUGAAGUUCUGGUGUCCAGAGUUGGGAAUGGAAAAGGUUCGUUGUUGGAUUGACUAUAAAGCUGCAAGGCUUGAUGGGUUAUAUGUGACCAGGGGACAAGGUGGCGAGGGAUUGACAGUGACAGCAGGAGAGUGGUUUAAAUGAAUAAUAAGGACCUAUAGGCCUGCAAGGAAGGGAGGGAAAUUAGCAUGCAGGAAAAAGGUUAUCUUAAUCAAGACAAAGGGUGGGCAUUGCAGGAGUUAGUGAAAAAGAAAUAUGAGAGGAUGAUGGCUACUGUGGCUAGGAGGGAAGUGUUGAUGGGGAGACUUCAGAGGUGGUCAUUGGAGGGCUGUGACUGUGAUCAUGGGAGAGGGGCGUUGAAAUGGAAGGGAUUCAAGUUCAUUGACUGAGGCCAGGGUGAUGCAUGGGUUGACUUGGAAUGGAGACAGAAAAUGGGAGCAGGAGCCCUUAUUGGAUAAAUAUUGGGGAGGUACUGUGGGGUCAAUAGAGCAAAGCAAUGAGUGGGAAAGGGGAAGGCUCAAGAUGGCAAGGGGAGACAGUUUUGUUCAAGGCAAGAAGAUAAAGAACACUUAAGGUCUGGAAAGUGAAUUCACAGGAUAAAGAGUAGGUCUUGGGUCAGACUGUCAGAGGGUCCCCAGACACCUUUAAGUACAUUUCACAGUGGAGGAAAUUGAGGCUGGGAGAAGUGAAGUGAACUGCUCAUGGCUAAUAAGCAGCAGAACCCUUAUUGCCCUAAUGCACCUUCACUGUGUUGAAGGUGCCUAGUGCACCUUCACUGUGUUGAGAUUGCAGAACCACGAGUCUUAAGUGUGAAAAGUCAUCUUAGAAAUCAUUGAUGGGCCAAUCCUUUCAUUUUAAAGCUGAACAAACAGAAAUCUAAGAAAAUUAAGUCAGAUUUCGUAUAACUGGGACCAAACCGAGGUUUCUUGACUCCCAGUUGCUGAGCAUUGGUGAUGGAAUAGGGAAGAAAGUAUGUUAGAAAGGGAACAUAGACAUAGAAGGCUAGUGUAUGUGUGCGUGUGUGCACAUGCACACACAUUCUCACUCACGUGUCUGUGUUUGUAAGAAAGCUGAACCAGGACAGUGUUCCUUUUUGCAAAGAAAAACAUGCUGCUGCCUUUGUAGAGGUGAUAGUAAAUGCUUUUAUUUGCCAGGAGUAGAGAUGGAAGAAAUGAAUCACCCGUUCCAUAUGUCCUGAUUCCAAUGGAUGCACACUGAAGAGGCAGCCAACCCAUGCCAAGAGAAUACUUCAUGUCUUGCAGCACACUGGAGCUACCUAGGCUUGGGCCAUACCCUGCUCUAACUAGUAGGCUUGCAGGGCCAGACUCCCUAUUGCUUGUAUUAGCACCAAGAUACAUACACUGGCAUAUUUGUUUUGUCAGGGCUUGUAUUAGUGAGCUAGGGCUACCAUAACAAAGUACCACAGACUGGGUGGCUUAAACAACAGAAAUUAAUUUCUCAUAGUUCUGGGGGCUGGAAGUACAAAAUCAAAGUGUGGGCAGGGGCAGUUUCUGCUGGGACCUCUUUCUUUGGCUUGUAGAUGGCCAUCUUCUUCUCCCCGUGUCUUUUUUUUUCUUUUUUUUUUAUUAUACUUUAAAUUUUAGGGUGCAUGUGCACAACGUGCAGGUUUGUUAUGUAUGUAUACGUGUGCCAUGUUGGUGUGCUGCACCCAUUAACUCGUCAUUUAACAUUAGGUAUAUCUCCUAAUGCUAUCCCUCCCCACUCCCCCCACCCCACAACAGGCCCCAGUGUGUGAUGUUCCCCUUCCUGUGUCCAUGUGUUCUCAUUGUUCGAUUCCCACCUAUGAGUGAGAACAUGCGGUGUUUGGUUUUUUGUCCUCCCUCUGUGUUUAAAUUUCUUUUUUUUUUUUUCUUUUGUCUCCCAGGCUGGAGUGCAGUGGCGCCUCGACCUCCCCACUGCCUGGCUCAAGCAAUCCUUCCGCCUCAGCCUCUCAAGCAGCUGGGAUCCCACUGGGCUAAUGGUUUUUUUACUUUUUCUUUCUUUCUUUUUUUUUUUUUUUUUUUUUUUAAAGAGACAAGGUCUCAUUAUGUUGCCCAGGCUGGUCUCAAACUUCUGGGCUCAAGUGAUCCUCCUGCCUCAGCCUCCCAAAGUACUGGGAUUACACGUAUGAACCACUGUGCCCAUCCUAAAUUUCCUCUCCUUAUAAGGACACUGAUUAUAUUAGGUAAAGGCCCAUGCUAAUGAGCUCAUUUUAACUUAACCUCUUUAAACACCCUAUCUCCAAAUACAGUUACAUUUUGAAGUACUCGAGGUUAGGUCUUCAAUAUAUGAAUAUUUGAGAGACAGAAUUUUGCCCAUAAUAGGACUACUUUGGUUGCAGGAACAGACACCUACUCAUGUUAGCCGAGCAAAAACAGGGUUUAUUAUUAUUAUUGUUAUUUUUUGAGACAGAGUUUCUCUCUUGUUGCCCAGGCUGGAGUGCAAUGGUGCGAUCUCGGCUCACCACAACCUCUUCCUCCCGGGUUCAAGCGAUUCUCCUGCCUCGGCCUCCUGAAUAGCUGGGAUCACAGGCAUGUGCCACCACGCCCGGCUAAUUUUGUAUUUUUAGUAGAGAUGGGGUUUCUCCAUGUUGGUCAGGCUGGUCUCGAACUCCCGACCUCAGGUCAUCUGCCUGCCUCGGCCUCCCAAAGUGCUGGGAUUACAGGCAUGAGCCACUGCGCCCUGCCAAGAGGGUUUAUUUUUAAGGAUGAGGCUAUCUCAUGAGAACUGUGAAGUAGAAAGCAACUCUUCCUAUCUCUUUUUCCUCCCUGGAUGGAUGGUGGUUUUAAAUCAUGGUCACAAAUUAUUUGACCCUCCUCCCAUAGAGAGGUGGGACCUAUAUCGCUGCCUCUGGAAUCUGGAUGGGCUUAUGACUGCUUCAACAAAUAGAGUAUCUCAGAAGUGAUGCCAUGUGACUUCUAAGGCUGGGCCUUACAAGGCCAUGCAACUUCUACUUUGUUUACUGAAACACUGGCUCUUGGAACCCUGACCCAUCUCAUAAGAAGUCCAGCUACCCUGAGAGGCCAUGUUGGAAAGACCACAGGGAGGCACUCUGGUUUACAGCCUCAGCUGAGCCAGGCCUUUCAGCUGUCCCUGCCAUGGUGCCAGAUGUGAAUGAAGUCAUCCUGGAGAUGCUGCGCCAGCCCAUCUGCCAGCUGACUACGAUGGAGUGACUUCUGCUAUUCCACGUAGAACAGAAGACCCACCCAGCUGAGCCUUGUCUGAAUUCCUAACCCACACAUUCAUGAAACAGAAGGAAAUGGUUUUUUUUUGAGAUGGCGUCUUGCUUUGUCACCCAGGCUGGAGUGCAAUGGCGCAAUCUCAGCUCACUGCAACCUCUGCCUCCCGGGUUGGUUCCCGAUUCUACUGCCUCAGCCUCCAAAGUAGUUGGGAUUACAGGCGCGCCCCACCAUGCCUGGCUAAUUUUUGUAUUUUUAGUAGAGACAGGGUUUGGCCAUGUUGGCCAGGCUGGUCUUGAACUCCUGACCUCAGGUGAUCUUCCCGCCUCGGCCUUCCAAAGUGCUGGGGUUACGGGCGUGAGCCACCAUGCCCAGCAGAAAAAGUUGUUGUUUUGAGCCACUAAGUUUCAGAGUAGUUUGAUAUGCAGAAAUAAAUAAGCAGAGCACUGGAAGUCUGUUUCUUUCUGCUCUUUCCUGGCUUUUUUUUGUUUGCUUGUUUACUCAUAUUUCCUGCUCACCUCUAAAUUUAACUUGCACAUGGCUAUAACUUGUUGUGGUCCCAGUUAUACAACCAACUUUCUGCUGUAGCCCCUGCAGCAAUGUGGGUACUCUCCACAUUAGUCAAAACAGUUGAGACUCUGAUCAGCCAAGGCUAGGGACACGGUCAUGUGUUAUGGAAACAGGGCCAUGUCUUCUGGAGGUCAGGGCCCAGCAGACCCUGAUUCUCACCUGUAUCUAGUCCACGUCAGUGUCCCACCUGUAUAUGGUCUGCGUCAGUGUCCCAUCCGUAUAUGGUCUGUGUUGUAUACAGUCCGUGUUGGCAUCCCAUGUGUAUACAGUUUGCAUCAGUGUCCCAUCCAUAUAAGGUCCCUGUCAGUGUCCCAUCCGUAUACGGUCCGCGUCAGUGUUCCAUCCGUAUACGGUCCGCGUCAGUGUCCCGUCCGUAUAAGGUCCGCGUCAGUGUCCCAUCUGUAUACGGUCCGCGUCAGUGUCCCGUAAGUAUACGGUCCGCGUCAGUGUCCCAUCCGUAUACGUCCGUGUCAGUGUCCUAUCCAUAUAUGGUCUGUGUCAGUGUCCCAUCCGUAUACCGUCCGCAUCAGUGUCCCAUCCGUAUACCAUCUGUGUCAGUGUCCCAUCUGUAUAUGGCCCAUGUCGUAUAUGGUCUGUGUCGGCGUUCCACCUGUAUACAAUCUAUGUCGGUGUCUCAUCCGUAUACGGGCCACAUCAGGGUCUCAUCCGUAUACAGUCUGUGUCAGUGUCCUAUCGGUAUACAGUCUGUGUCAGUGUCCCAUCUGUAUAAGGUCCGCAUCCGUGUCCCAUCCAUAUACUGUCUGCGUCAGUGUCCCAUCUGUAUAAGGUCUGCAUCAGUGUCCCAUCCAUAUAUGAUCCAUGUCAGUGUCUCAUCUGAGUCUGGCCUGUGAGAGAGUCACUGUCUCCCUCAACCUCUUCAGAGUGUGCUGCCUUCUAUUCUGACUCAGAAUCAAAUAGUCAGCUUUCAGAUGGAAGAGGGCCCUGCGACCAUCCAGUUUAUUUUCCUUUUUGAAUAGAAAUUCCUUUGAUGAUGGCAGAAAUCCCCCUAACUUCCUUAUGAUGCCCCCAGGACCAGCUUUCAUUAGAGGCAUGCAUGCCAGGCAUCCCUCUUACCAUGGAUCAGUUCUGCUUGUCCAACAGUUCUACAAGCAGAGUUGAAAUUUGUUUUCCUCUCUUUUACUGUUUGGUCUUCACCCUGUCCUCAAAAGUCACCCAGAAUAAGUAGUUCCCUCUUUCAUAGGACAAUAUUUGAAUUACUUAAACCCUUCAUUUUAAGGCUGUACCUUUUCAUAGUAAACCUGGGGCUCCAGUUACCAGAAUGGGCAACUGAGAGCGGGGAAGGUGAGGGAAGCUGAUAUGAUUUCACAAACAACGGGGAGAGUGGAUAGGGAAGCUGCCCCUAAGUUCAUGUUCUCAACUGCAAACUUUUUUUGAUCACGUGUCUUUACUGAUUUUUUACAAGAAUGCAUGCCUGGUUUGGCACUUCCUUUCUGUAUCAGUCCCCUAGGGCUGCAAUAACAAAUUGCCACAUACUAGGUGGCUUAAAACAACAGGAAUGUAUUCUCUCACAGUUCUGGAGACCUGGAGUCCGAAAUCAAGAGGCUGGUGGGGUUGAUUCAUCUGGAGGCUCUGAAGGAGCAUCUGUUCCAUGCCUCUCUCCUAGCUUCUUGUGAUCAAAGGCAGCUUGUAGACACAUUGCUCAAUCCCUACUUCCAUCUUUACAUAGUGUUUGAUAUGGUUUGGCUGUGUCCCCACCCAAAUCUCAUUUUGAAUUGUAAUAAUCCCCACAUGUCAAGGAUGGGGCCAGGUGGAGAUAAUUGAAUCAUGGGGGCACAUUCCCCAUACUGUUCUUGUGAUAGUGAAAAAGUCUCAUGAGAUCUGAUGGUUUUAUAAAGGGGAGUUCCACUGCACAUGCUCUUUUUUGCCCACCCCCAUGUAGGACAUCUCUUUGCUCUUCUUUCAUCCUCAGCCAUGAUUGUGAGACCUCCCCAGCCAUGUGGAACUGUGAAUCCAUUAAACUUCUUUCCUUUAUAAAUUA